rnacentral:lncRNA from 1 species
AAGAUAGUAAAAUAAUUUUUUUGCCAUAAAUUGUAAUAAUUAGUAAAAGAGAUUCACAGACAUGAUUGCAAAGUGAAAUGUAAAAUUGAAUGUUGCUAUAGUUUAAUUCUAGAAAAAAUUUUAAAUACCACCUCUGUGGUUUCGCGCUUUCUCAUUUCAGUAUCCGGUGGUUUAAAAUGUAUCAUUUUAGUAUCAUAUGGUUUUGCUUUUUUCUUUUCCUUAUCCCCUUCAUUAAUUUUCUCAUUAAUUUAGUGACAAAGUUAAAAUCAUAGAGUACUGAAAUAAAAAUUUGAUAAACUAUAAGAUACUAAAGUGAAUAUUCAAUAAACCAUAGGUGAAGUAUCUGAAGUUUUCUAUAUAUGAUUUAACAGAGAAUUAACGGAGGUAUUGACGGGAAGAAAAAAAAAAUACAAAGUACUAAAGUGAGAAAGCGUGGAACCAUAUAGAAUAUUCUAUCUAUCUUGAAUAAAUUUCAAAAAAAAGUAUCAAAUAAAAUAUUUAUUUAUAUAUCCAAUAAUACUUAAUUUUCAUGCAUUUCAGAACAUUAGCUUAUAAUACAUUCGCUUCAUAAGUGCAAGAGAAAAAUACUAGCAUUUUUUAAUUAUAAAAUUGUAUAAGAAAAAUCAAUUAUUUUAGAUUAACAAAUACAAAGGUUAUUUGAACUUUAAGAAUAUUGGUAAAUAAAUAUGUGAAUUAAAAAAAAUUAUACUACACAUAAUUUAUCAUUUUAUAAAUUUUUAGUUAUAACAAAUUUGUCACUAGAAAAAUUGCUAAAAAAAAUAAAAAAUCACCACUUCCACCAUACCCGGGCUUAUUUCUACACCCAUUUCCCUCUCCCUCAAAUUCUAUUUCAUAUUUUAAUUAAAUCAAAAUUUUUAAUUUAAUAUUUUACAAUAUUAUAAAGUUUAAAAAUUAAAAUUAAAGUAUAAGAUGAGAUAAAAAAAAAUGAUGCAGUUGCAUACUAAUGAACACACGCUUGCACUCUAAUCUAUAGUGGGAAUAGUGGUGAGACAUUUGAAUUAAAAUUUAGAAAUAUUUAGUGCAAAAGGUAAGUUUUUGAAAUUCAUACAUCAAAUUUGUUACAAAUGAUCAGAAAUUCAAAAUAGCCACAUUAAAAUUAAAGUACUCAAGUGAAAAUAUAUAGCAAAUCACAAAAUCAGAAUAAAAAUGCUAUCGAAAACUUUAUUAUAAAAUGUACAUUUUACAUCUCGUGAUUCUAGAAUUCACAAAUUUCUUUUUAAAUAUGUUAGCAUUAAAAAAUUAAUUUAAUAUGGUGUGUAAGAUUUAUAUUUAUAGAUUGCAAAUGAACUUCUCUUUCUCUACAGUUGUUCUAAUUUUAUGAUUAGGUUCUUAAACUAUAAUACGCGUGGCAUUUUGGUUCUGAAAUUUUAAUUUAUUAUAAUAAUUUGUGAUUUAAAUUUUUAAAAUUUUUUACAAUCCCACAAUAUAAUUUAGUUGAUUAAAUUACAAUUAACCAUAAUAUAAUGGAUUCGAACUCAAAUCAUCAACUUAAAAUGCUUAUAUCUAGUUAUUAGUAAUAGACUUCUUGAUUUUUAUAUAGCUAAUUAUAAUUUAUUUUAUAUCCGAGGUGGAACUAUUAGAAGCGAUAAAAAAAAAUAUAUUCAAUUUUUAGAGCAAUGAGUCUAUACACCAAAAGAAAAAAAAAAUAAAAGAAAAAAAAGCUUUAAAUAUCACACCCCAUGAUCCAAAUGUUAUUAUUAAAACCAAAUAUAUUUCUAUAAAAUUCAACUUUUCAUAUUUAUUUGUACAAAAGUUCAGUGAUAUUCAUAUUUGUCCCUCUAGUUUGUUACCAUUAAAAUGCUAUUUAUUUUUUAACAAAAGAUAAGAAAAAUAAUAUUUUUGCCAUCACAAAUAUGUCCCUGCAAAAAUUCCCACCGUUAAAAUUAUACAAAAACAUCCUUUCAAAAAUUUUCAAUGGUCACCUUUUUCUUUCUCCAAUCAUAAAUAAUAUAAGAGGAAUAAAAAGAUCAAUUUAUCUCAUUCAUUUAUCAAGGUUAAGUAUUUUACCUAUAAUUAACUAUAUUUUUUAAACGGAUCCAUACAGCGGGGGGAGUAUAUUUUGAAAAUGUUAUAAUUUUUGUAGGCAUAAAUAUGAAAAGUUGAGCUUUAUAAGAAUGGAAAAUAUUACAGGGUGCGGUAUGCAAUUUAACCCCAAAUAAAUAUAUAAAAUGACGAAAUUACCCCUACAAAAAUAAGAAAAUGACGGAUUCGGACCCGUGGGCGUGCUUGACUCGUGUCGGCAAAAAAGGCGCCUCUCUCGCUUUCGAACAAAGCUCCCCCUUUUCGUUACAACUCAACCCCUGUUGUUUCCACUUAUUUACGAGAAUGCCACCGCAUUUAUGUCUCCCCGAUCGAAUCGGUGGCGCCGCUUUGACCGAGGACCACGUGGAACGCGAACGGUCUCCCUUGAUCGGACGGUGGAGAAGAGAUCAUCAUGGCACCUCGGUUGCACGGCGGUGAUAUUCCUGCUACAUUGUACUUCAGUACGGGUGUGUUUAUUUCACCGAAAGUGUGACAGGAUUAUUGCCGGAUUUUGACUUCGCUUUCGAUUCAACGUAAUAAAAUUAGGGGAAAACUUCAAAAACCCCCCUUUGGUUUCAAUUUUUUUCACUUUAGUACCCUAUGAUUUAAAAUGUAUCAAAUUAGUACCCUGUGGUUUCUCACUUUAUCACUUUAGUACCCUGUGGUUUAAAGUGUAUCAAGUUAGUACCCUGUGAUUUUGCACUUUAUCACUUUAGUACCCUGUGGUUUUAAUUUUGUAUCAAGUUAGUACCCUGUGGUUUUUUAAAUCACAGGGUACUAAAGUGAUAAAAUGUGAAACCACAGGAUAUUAAAGUGAUAAAGUGUAAAACCACGGGGUACUAACUUAUUACACUUUAAACCACAGGGUACUAAAGUGAUAAAGUGAGAAACCACAAGGUACUAACUUGAUACACUUUAAACCACAGGAUACUAAAAUGAAAAACUGUGAAACCACAAGGGAGGUUUUUGAAGUUUUUUCUAAAAUUAGUUCAGAUAGAUUUUUUUUUUUUUUGCUAUUUGUUUGUAUAGGAGUGGAACUGAAGUUUUUAUAAGGGUUUUGUUUUUGUUUGGUGAGAAGUAAGUGACAUAAAAAUUAAAUUGGCGAGAGAUAACUAUUUUUUUUUUUUUCAUUUGUUUUAUCGGCAGAUAUCUUCGGUCUGGAGAGGGUCGAAGUCAUUUGCGUAAUUUUGAAAAGUUUGAGUUUCAUUCAAAGAUAAAAUUAUGAUGAUUCAAAGAAACACGGUGAUUGAAUUACCGUGUUCAUAUCCACACUCUAAUCCCUUAUUUUUUACAUAGAAAUAAAAAAAAUAUAAAAAAAAAAUACGGUGAUUCAAUCAUUAUAUUUAAAUACACGAUUCAAUUAUCAUGUUCAACUUAAAAAUACUAUAUAAGUGCUCGCAUGGCAACAAAAGGAUUAUUUAUGCAAAUAUAAAUUUGUUAUGACCAUUUAUAAAUUUUUUUUUCUUGAGGAGGCUAAAUGCAAAAAAAAACUCCUAGUUUUGAGUAGGGAUGUCAGCGGGUCGGAUUUUCAAAAAUCCAAAACCGAACCCGAAAACCAAAUUAAAAUCCGAACCUAGAUUCGAACCCGAACCCGAACCCGAAAUAAUAAUUUCUCUUUACCAUAUUUCAAAAUAUAUUAUUAUAAAAUUAAAAUUUUCAAAACACAAUCAAAUGCAACAUUAAACAUCCAUGCCAUACUAUAUCAAUAUCUGGAUAAAAAAAAAAUACAAAUUCAAAUAGUUAAAAAUAACAAUACAUAUAUUGUAUAAAUAAAUAAAUAAAUAAUAUGUAUAUAAUUUAUUCCGGUUCGGGUUCGGGUUUGAGUUUGGGUUCGGAUCAGGUAAAUACAUAAUUCAUACCCGUAUCCAUAUCCAUUGGAUUUUUAUUUUUUAUACUCAUAACUGAAUCUAUACCCAUUAGUUCAGAUAAACCCACUCAAUUCGGAUUCGGAUUUGAAUAAUAUUUUAAAUAUCCAUAUUCAUUAACAUCCCUAAUUUGAUGUCUAUGUAUGUAAUUUAACCUUUUUGGAUUUAAUAACCCGUUACCACCGUCUUACUCCUUUUUUUUUUUUUUUAAAUCUUUCUAGGCCUUUUUGCAUAAAAAAUCCACUUAUUUUGGGCUUUUGCAAAACCGGGUCAUCUUUUUUGUUUUUGCAGAUUCGGUCCGCUUUUUCAGCAAACUGACCAAAAUACCCUUAUUACUUUUUCUCUUUCCUCUUUCUCUCUCCUCUUCGUUUCUGUCGUUCUUUUUUUUUUUCUCGCCGAAAAAAAAAAGGCGGACCGUCGCCUUCUUCUUCACCGUCGCCUCCCUCCUCACCAUCCUUCUUCACCAUCGCCCCCCUCCUCACUCUCCUCUCUACCGCCCGCGACCCCCUCCUCCUCUCCUCCGCCGCCGCGGACCCCCAGCCCGAUCCCGUCUCCGCGGCGGCAGCGGCCGCGGCGAACGGGGUCGGGCUGGAUGCGGAGAAAAAGACAACGGCGAAGAAGAAGAAGGGGAGGCCAAGCGACAGGGCGCAGGAGGGGGAGGCGGAAGCGCAACCGGCCGCCGGGGCACCAGCCGCGCCGCGGGCGGGUGUUUCUUCUCCGGUCGGCGCUGGCCCCCUUGCCUCCCUGGCCCGGCCACGCCAGAGCCGGGCGACCAGCGCCUCUGGCCUUCUUUCCCACGCACGGACGGCGGGAGGACGCCGCGUCGCGCCGCGGACCCCAGGCCCAUUCCGCACCGGCAGCGCAGGCGCGGCCCGCGGCGAACGGGGGUCGGACUGUUUUUAUUUUUAAACUACAACACUUUAACAGAUAUUUAUUACUGGGGCUUUCUCCUCUUGUUGCACUUUUCUCCUCUUGUUGCACUGUUCUAACUCUUUAAAGGAGGAAGGAAAGACAGUUGCCAACAAGGAAGGAGAAAACAGUGCCCAACAAGGAGAGAAAAGACAGUAGUAAAUAUCUCUUAAAUGAGUGCCAGUUUAAGAUGAAAGGGGUGCAGGUUUUUUUUCUUGGUUGCACCUUUUUUCUCUUGCUACAGGGCUAUUUUUUAUUUUUAAAACUACACACUUUAACAGGAUAUUAUACUGCUUUCUUCCUCUUGUUGCACUGUUUCUUCCUCUUUUUAAAGAGCGAAAAAGCAGUGCAAACAAGGGGAGAAAAACAGUAGCAACAAGGAGGAGAAGCAGCUAUUAAAUAUUCUGUUAAAGCAUGUGUAGUUUAAAAUAAAAAAUGAGUGUGGUACAAGGAGGAAAAAUGGUUGCAAUCAAGAAAAAAAACUGCCCCACCCAUUUAUCUUGAAAGCUGCCAUUAUUUAAGAGGAUAUUUGAUCUGCUUCUCCUCUGUUGCACUGUUUGCUCCUCUUGUUGAACAGGAGGAAAACAGUGCCCAACGAAGAGCAAAGAACAGGUGCACAAGAUGGAGAAGCGAGGUAUGAAACUAUCUGUUUAAAGAUUGUGUAGUUUAAAAUAAAAAAUGUGGUAAUAAGAGAAAAUAGUGCCCAACAAGAAAAAAAAAUAGUGUAAACAAGAGGAAGAAAGAAAUGGAUCGCAACAAGAGGGGAAGAAACGGUGCAACAAGAGGAGAAACAGGUGCAAACUUUCAUUUAAAGGAGGUGUAAUUUUAUCUUAGUGGGUGCAGUUUAUAUCUGAAAGAGUGCAAUAAGAAGAGAAACAGUGUAAGUAUCUUUCAAAGAGUGUAAUUUUCAUUUAAAAAGUGUAAUUUUUAUUUUAAAGCUGCAGUUUACAUCUUAAGUAGUGCAACUUGUAAUUUUUUUGUAGUUAACGAUACAAUUUCAUCUUCAUCUUUUUUUUUAUAUAAUUUUUUAUCUUUAUUUUUUUUCUGUUUUUUUUUGUCACCCUUUCUGUCAAUAGCCACGGUGUCGGUGACGACGCCGCUAAAGACCCCCCACUCCGAGGCUGCAGCGCCGCAGUGAUCUCCACGGUGUCGGCGUCGGUGUCGGCGAAGAUGCAUUGUCGUCGGAGGCAGCAGAGAAGGAGGGAGAAGGAGAGACGGGAAGGGCAGGGAAGAGCGAGAGAGGCGCCGUCGUCGGAAACUGUGGAGGAGAGUCAGAGAAGAAAAGAAAAGAAAAAUGCAAAAAAAAAAAAAGUCACAGCCCGGCCUCAGGGGGAUCGGAGGCGAGGAAGGUGGGGGCGCCGGCGGCGACGCCGCUCUGUCCUCGCCGCUCUCUGGGAAGAGAGAAAAAAAAGAACAAGAGAAAAAAGAGAAAAGGAAAAGGUAUAAGAGCACCUCCGCUCCGUCUUCGCCGCUCUCUGGGAAGAAAAAGAAAAAAGAACGAGAGAAAAAAAAUGAGAGAGAAAGAGGAAAGAGAAAAAGGUAUAAGGAUGUUUUGGUCAGUUUGUUGAAAAAACGGACCGAUCUGCAAAAUUCAAAAAGAUGGCCCGAUUUUGCAAAAGCCCAAAAUAAGUGAAUUUUUUAUGCAAAUUGGCCAUCUUUCUAUGACAAGGUUCUUGUCCCAAAAUAAGCUAAAAAUAAAAAUAGUUGCUUACGUGGCAGUAGCAGCACCGUCCAUCUUUAAUUAAUGCGGUACAUGGUAUUAAUCAAAGUCAAGCAUGAUGGUGUCAUCACAGCUCACUUGUGUGACGUAAUCGCUUAUGCGAUACAAGUUCUCAUUUAUGUGGGGCUUUUUGUUUCAAAUUCUGAAAAUUUUUUUGAUAUUUUUGUCGUCAAAUUUUAAUCUAUUAUAAUUUUUACUUUAAUUUUUUAAAAUUACUAUAAUUAUAUUUUGUAAUUUAAUUUAUUUUACUAAAUAUUUAUUAGCGUAUUGCUGAUUGAAAAUAAUGUGUCAAUUGAAAUAUUAAUUAGCAUACCGUCAAACUUUUGGUCAUCAAACUCUUAGUCUUUUGACAUUUUUGUCAUCAAAUUUUAAUUUAUUAUAAUUUUUAUCUCAAAUUUUUAAAAUUAUUAUGACCAUAUCUUACAAUCUAAUUUAUUUGGCUAAAUAUUAAUUAAUAUAUCGCUGAUUGAAAAUAAUAUAUCGUUUGAAUUAUUGUUGAGUUAUCAAUCAUAAUAUUAUCAUAUUGGUUUGUGUUACUAAUAUAUAAAUAUUCAAUCAACUAAAUUAGAUUGUAAAAUUUAAUUAUAAUAAUUAAAAAAAUGGAACCAAAAUUUAUAAUAAAUUAAUCACGCGGUUUAUAGUUUGAAGGCCAGAUGUGUAAUUUAACCUCUUUAUUUCUUAAAGUUUUGAUCGAAUAUAAUAAAAGAAAAAGGAUACUCUAAAGAGUGAAAUUGCCUGCACCAGGUAUAUAAAUAUAUCUUAUAUACCGCACGCUUAAAAUUUUAUAAUAAAACUUUCAAAAUUAAAAUCUAACUUAUUAGAGAGUAAGGGCAUGCUUGUUUCCACGAAAUUCCGACGAUGAACUCGCAAGUUCAUGUAACCGGACAUCACUGGCAUUUGGACGUAGCUACAAACUCUGACUUUUGUGGUGCCCACGCUGCCUGCACGCGCGAUCAGUCUCACAGGGCGGCGAGUUCACUUACGGCACGAACUUGCAACCCCAUGCUCAACGAGCAUGAUGUCGAGUUUUGCCCUACGGACGGAACUCGCCUACUCCGAAUGGGGCAUGGCUCCGCGGAAACAAACACGCCCUAAAGCAAGAAUAUUUUCUAUAAGUAAAUGCCGGCAUUUGCAUUUAGAUUAUACACGAUGAUAGGACAUUCUAACCGACGAUCUGUCUCACUAAACCUGAUUUAGGCUAUUUAAAUUUUUUGAAUUUUGAAUUUUUUGAAUCUUGAAUUUUAAGAUUUUUUGAUACUAUUUGCGUAACAUUAAGGUAAUAUCAAAUUUAAUAAUUUUUAAUGCCUCAUAUAAGAUAAAUUUUAACCCGCUCAGUUACUAGCUAGGUAAAUAAUAUAAUAAAAUUAUAAAAUUCAGCUCCUGCAAAAGUCAAAUUAUCUAAAUCAAGAUAAAUAGUGCUGAUCGUUCAUUCAAAUUUUCUAACGUCAGAAAUUGAAGAGAAAUCAACACUCAUUAAUUGCUUCUAAAAUUCAUAAAAAUAAAAAUGCCUACAUUUAAAAUCAUAAAAUCUUUGACAUUAAUGUUUUGUAAAAAUUAAGUUCUCUACAAUUGGAUCUUUUGAACUAUUUAAUACUAAAUUUUUAGGUUUUUAAAAUGCACAAUUUUUUAUACAUAAUUUUUUUAAAUGUUACAUAACAUAUAUAUCGAAUUAAACUUUAAUUUAAGACAUGAAUGAUUAAAUACCAAAUAUAGUGUAUGUAUACAUGGAGUACAAGAAAUAAUUAUUAUAAAUGGUUUAGAUAUCAAAAUAUUAUACAUUAUAUAUAUUUUAAUUCUCUUAAGUUAAGAAAGUCCCACAAUUUUAGAGACCCACUAUUUUAAUUUUAUUUGGAUACAUUAUUUUUUAAUAAAAGUACUUUUUCUUGGCAUGAUUUAAUUUUUUUAAUACCUGUGUUGCAUGAUAAUGGCUCUCAAGCCUCUCUAACUUUAAUGCUGUAAUAAAAUAAAAUAAAAUUAAAUGGGCAAUUGCACAUUUGGUCCUCAAACUAUAACACAGAUGAUAUUAUGAUUCUAAAAUUUUAAUUUAUUAUAACUUCUGACUCGAAUCUUCAAAAUGCCUGCAAUCAAGUUCUAUAAUGCAAUUUCGUUGAUUGAAUAUUGAUGAAUCGCUAAUAUAAAAGAGAUACAACAGUAUUGUGAUUGGUGAUGUGCUGAUAAUUAAGAUAUUAUAUUACUUUUAUGUCAGUGAUUCGCUAACAUUUAAUCAGCUAAAUUGCAUUGUGGGACUUGAUUGUAAUAAUUUUAAAAAUUUAAGCAGAAAGUUAUAAUAAAUUUAAAUUUGAGAACCAAAUGUCAUCUGCCUCAUAAUUUGAAAAUGUAUAUAAAAGUGUAACGUUACACCUCCCUAUCAUUUUAGGCUUCUGGAUUAAUUUGGAUUCUUUAAUCAGAGUCGGUCUACUAUACUCUUAUGGGGACGAUCGCCUUCGUAAGCAUAAAUUAUUUUCAGUGACAGAGCUUUUAAAUCAAUGAUCCAUACCGUUAAAUAUUAUCUAGAGCAUUUAAAACUGCUAGAAAUUAAAUUUCAUAAUUUUUCGACAUCAUUUACCUUACGGUCAAAAUAUCUUAAAGUUGAUCAUUUUCUGCUAGUUUAACGGUGUAAAAGAAUCAAAAUCGGUUGAAAUUUUGAUAAAAAAUUAUAUUCACUAUUUGAUAAAGAUCAAUAACUCCGAUCAUAAAUUAAAAUAUCCGAUCAUCUAUCUUUAAGACAUCGUUCGAUUUUGACCGUUCGUUUUAUACCCGCUUGAUGAACUUUAUUAUGAAUUCGACCAAAAAAUUACGAAAUUCAUUUUCAAGAAACUUUAAAUACUCUAGACUAUAUUUGACGAUGUAGAUCAUUGAUUCGGAAGCUCCAUUAUUGAAAUUAACUUACGGAUACGAAAAGCUCUGUACUCAUCUAUUAACCUAAAUGAAUUCUCAAUAUUUUUUGCCACAUGGCAAGUUUUCUUUCAACCUUACUAACCCUUUUUUUGAACUCACAUUUGUUCUUGAUUUUUCCCCUUCCCUCCUCUCUAUUCAAUGACAAGUAAUUAAUGUGCUCUUUAAUUUAUAUGUUACUCAUUUUUCUCUUCAAUAUUAGUCAUUUCUUCUCCUUCAAAUAUCUUUUCAACGUCAAACCCUUCACCUCCCAAUCCUUUGAAAUCAUGAAAAUUAAUUAAUCGAAAAUACAACAUUUAAUUAUAGGCACUAUAUUCUACAAAUAAAUGGGCUUUACAACACCAAUCCACCCCCACCUCCAUUAAUCUCCCACCCCCCUCUCUUUUGCAUGGCCUCUUAUUUUUCAUGCAAAAAAAAUAUCAUUAUCUAAUUUUCCACCCAAUACUCAUCUAGCUCUCUCUCUCUUAUUGUGUUAACGAAGAUGAUGAGGACGAUGAAGAAGAAGAAGAAGAGCAUGCGAAGAACGUUGUCUCCUUCGAGAAGCAUCGUUCCGCAAAAUCAAGCCGCGGCCCAUAUAAAUGCCCACUAGGUUGAUUUAGUUGCGCUGGAGCUAGCUCUUUUUUAUUUUUCACAACCAAAUGUUUAAGGUGCACAUAAUACGAUAAAAUUAUACGUCUCUUACUGUAUUUCGAUGAUUUUAAAAUAUAUUUAUAAACUUCUAACUAUAAUUUAUUUUUUUAAUAGUUGAAUUUAGUCAUACAAAUUGAUUAUGUUUAACAUGGGUAUAGCUUCUUAUACAUCAAUAAGUUGUGAAUAUAAAUUUUAUUAAAAUUUUGUUUCUAUUAUCUACCCGCUGCAUCGCGCGGGUCUCUAUACUAGUAAGAAUAUAAUAGCCCUAGUGCUUUAAUCAGCCAAACAUGACCAAGUCAAAUUAAAUUAGUCAUCUCUAAUUUGGGUCUUUGUUUGUGGACACUUUUGAAGGCACCAACCAAUAGGCCCACUUUUUUUUUAAAAAAAAAAACUUUUUUGAAGAGUUGUUUUGUGGAUUAAUGGAGAACACAAAAUAAUUUGCUUUAUGAGAUGUAAUUUUCAUGCCUUUUUUGGGUAUUAAAAUAAAAGUUUUUUAAAGGGAAAAAAGAAACUAAAACGUGGGUUUGAGCAAAAGGGAGUUUCAUGGCACAUGAUUGUGACAUAUGAAAAUUAUUAUCUAAUAUAUAAAGCUUGGAUUGAAAGAAAAGAAAAGAAAUGCAUGUGUAUCCCUUUUUAGUAUAUUUGAGAUCAAAACACUACAAAAAUCGGUCGUUUCUGGUGCAAGCGAUAAAAAAAUUUUGAUGGUUGGUAUUCAAAAUUUUAAGCUGAAAACUUAAUUACUUUAGAUUUUCAGUUGAAUUUAUCUUUUAGAUAAGUAAAACGAAACGAAUAAUAUACUAUUUUUCUCUUAAAAAAAAAAAAACACUCUAAAAACACCCAAAACCAAAACUCCUUCUUGGCCCAGCUGGAUUUUAGAAUGUUUGGUUCUUCAAAAAAAAAGCAGAAAAAUAAUAAUAAAAAAAAAAUUUUAUGAAUUUUUUAAAAUUUUUCGUCUGGUUGAUUUGAAGAAAAGCAGGCAUUUUUAAAAAUAUUUUUUUUCCAUAUUUCAUGAAAAAUUAGCAUUUUUUCGGUUUUUUUCUAGAAUGAAAAUAUUAAUUUUCCAUAAAAAAUGGGAAAAAAAUUUCAGAAAAGUUUGUUUUUCUUAAAAUCGAACGGAGGGAAAACUGAAAAAAUAAUUUUAAUGAAAAAGCUUUUUUAUCGAAAAUUUAUUUUUCUUACUUUUACGAGGAAGCAAACAACCCUAGAUGAGUAGAACUGGUUGAAAAAUCAUUAAUGAUUUUUAUUCUAUAAUUUUACGUUACAAGCAUAAUCAAAGUCUCUAAAUAAUUUUUUAUAGUUUUAUUGUUUAUAUUGGUUGGAAAAAGAGUCAGCAUGAAUCGAAUUUUUUAAGGGCUCUAUUGAAAAUCAAUUUUUUAAAAAGAUACAUGAGGUAUGGCUCCACUUUUCCACAAGAUUUUUAUUUUUGUUCAAGUAGUAGAUUCUAAUCAAUUUAAAAAAAAAAACAAAAAAAAUCUCCUGAUCAAUGCAUAGAUUGUUUGAUUUACUUUACAGCAUCUGAGAAGGAAAGCUCUAAAAUAAUUUUAAAUUUAUUGAGUUUUUUAAAAGCAUCAAAACAAGUAUGUUUGAUUAUAAAACCUCUAGAUUUCAAACUUUAUACAAUCAAUUUUGGUAGCAAAUCUAAAAAAAAAAAGUGUUAUUUACAUAAAUAUACAUGAAUUUUAAAUUCUCUACACCUGUUCUGUAUUACUGCCUAUUUUUUUAAAAAAAAUUCUUAUUAUCAAAGAUAGUUGAGGACAACGAUUAUUUCAUAUAGUUUAACAUGAGAAAUAUCUUCAAGAGUGCUUAAUUUUUUUAGCAGUGAUGCUAUAAGUUGAUUUGUCGGACCUGACAAUGUGUUUUUGGUAGAAUUAGGGUUUGGCGGGACAGCGAAAAAAUUUUUGUAAAGUUAGGUGAUCCAACUUCUAUUGUUUUGUUCCUUUUAGUCUUUUGUUUUGUCUUUCUUUUCUUUCCUUCUUUUCGGCUUUUCAAUUUCCAGAUGUCUUAGUUGUCUUACUAUUGUAGGCAAAUUUAUUUUCUAAAUGAAUGAAACGGAUAUUAUGUUAUUUAAUAAAAAAAAAUUAAGUGUAAGUAAAUUUCAUUUCAGUCUAAAAUUUUAGCAGUAGUUUAGAGUAAUUAAAUUUCACCUCUUCUCAAGAAAAGCUGCACAAAUGGCCAAAAAUGGUACUAAUUAAAUAUCAUAAUCAUUCAUAAAUAUAUAAUAUCCCCAACAACCUAUGCUGCAAUUAAUGGUUGAAAACUUUAUUAGGUACUAAGGCCUAAAUUGAGAUUGAAUUAUAAAAAAAAGAAAAAAAAAACAUGUUUUUUUGUUUUAGAAGAUCCAAAUAAUUCAAAAGGGCUUUCAAUCACUCCUCCACCACCACUACAAAUUGUAGUAAGAAAUCGUCACUAUACUGCAAAAAAAUAUGUACUUAACAAACACUUAAAAAAAUAAAACUAAACUUCAGGUAUCAUUCCUGUGGAUUCGCACUUUUUCACUUUAGUAUCAUGUGGUUUAAAAUGUAUUAAGUUAGUAUCCUGUUGUUUCAUUUUUAUCUUUUCGUUAGCUUCUCUGUUAACAUUUCGUUAAAUUAUAUACAAAAAACUUCAGAUACUUUACCUAGGUUUAUCGAAUAUUCACUUUAGUACCCUUUAGUUUUAACUUUGGCACUGAUUUAACGGAAAAAAUUAGAGAAAUAGAUAAUAAAAAGAUAAAAUAAAAUUACAGGACACAAAAUUGAGACACUUUAAACCACGGAGUACUAAAAUGAGAAAGUGUGAAACCGCAGGGAUGGUAUUAGAAGUUUUCACAAAAAAUAAUAGUGAUGCUUUAAAGCGUUGGCAAAAAUAUAUAUCUAACGAUGCUUUAUUAGCGAUGUUUAAUUAUAGUGUCGACACAUGCUAAAUAUUAGGGACCUUAAUCUAAGCAUCGUCUAAAAAGCAUUGGCAGAACUAUAUUUUGUUGUAGUGCUAGAAAAAUACAUAAUCGCUUACUUUUUAUACUGCAAUUUUCAUCAUAAUUUUACAGUAUUGAAGCAAAAAAGAUUAAAAGCACUUUUGAAAACCUUUCAAAAUAUAAAACAAGUGAUUUUGAAUAUCACAAUUCCAAGCUAAGCCUAAAAGGUUUUAGAGUUAAUACAAAACUUGAAUACUUAGUCGAGGACUGCAGGGACAGAGCCACUAUGAGGCUCACAGUGACCAUGGCCCCCAUUAACUUUUAAAAAUCAUAUAUAAGUUUUUUAUAGUAAAAAUUAAAAUAUUAUAAAAUUUGAUUUUAAAGGGGCCAAAUUGAUUUUUUUUAAAUAAAACCUGUGUCACAAUUAUUUUCCGAAUCCUUGGGCUCUUUUCUUUCAACUCUUAUAGUCUGACUCUUCGUUGAGCACAUUGUCACUAUCGUUGCUAGCAAUAGAUGACCAAUGAACCUAACAAACUCUUUUUCUUACUCUCUGUUGUUAAAUUUUUUUCCUGCCAAAUCUAAAUUGUGCGUCCGUUCCUCCAAACCUUAACUCCUGGCUUCGUCCCUGUCAAAGAGAUAACCCAAUACCUCAAUUAGUUAAUUAAUUGUGACACUUGGAAAAUCCUUUGUUUACAUGCCUCUCUUGAGAUCCAUGCAUGUGGGUCUAUUUGAAGUGGACAUGAAAGCCUCUCUCUCUCUCUCUCUCUCUCUCUCUCUCUCUUUUGAGAUCCAUGCGUGUGGGUCUAUUUGAAGUGGACAUGAAAGCCUCUAUCUCUCUCUCUCUCAUAAUUUGAAGAGUUUUUGUUUAGAUGUCAUUCUUAAGAUCCAUGUGGGUCUUUUUCAAGUGGAUAUGAAAGCACCUCUCUCUUUGAACAUUAUUAUGGAGAAUAGCUAGCACCUUCUCAAGGCACCUAGGGAUAUUCCUUAUAGUAAAAUGCUGCCUGUACAUCUACUUUGUAAAUCUUACACUUCCUCAGUUUUAAAAUUCACAAAAUUUUUGUUAAAUUUUAGUAAAGAAAAAAUAAAAAAAAAAUUAAGGAGACAAGCAGCCAGUGAUGACCCUUGGAUUGGAAGGAUGUAAGAUUUAUNACAAUCACACACAAAAAAAAAAAAAAAAAACAAAAUUUAGUAUGGAGCUCUCCAACUAAGCCUCGUUGAAGACUUCACAAUUCGUUGCUGGAUGUCAGCUUUGUCUCUAUUCAAAAGAUUUUCUCUCGGAGUUUUUUUUUUUUUUAAUGAACUAUUAGAUGGGGGCAAAACUAAUAAGUGGUAACGGAUCAGGACCUUCGCCCCACUUUGACAUCGUUGAACAACUCCCGCUAAAAUUUUAUCCACUACAUGUAGCACUGCCCGUUCCUUUAAUUUGACACUAUCUCGCCCGCCUCCCCCCUUAGGGACAUAAACGGGUCGGAUUCGAAGCGGAUUUUUAAAAAUCUGAACCAGAACCCAACUAUAAAACCUGAACUUGAACUCGAAUCUAAGUUUGAGGGAUUUUAAAAAUUCAUAUUCAAAAUCUGAAACCUCAGCCCGAACCCAAAAAUACAACAUCAAACAUAUAUACAUACAUAAUGUAAAAUUAUUUCAAAUUUGGGUCAGAUUCGGUUCAGGUUCGAAUUGGGUACAAUUAAAGAUCAUAUCCAAAUUCAAAUCCGUCGGAUUUUCAUUUUUGAUAUCUAUAUUCAAAACUAUAUUCAUUCAGCAUCGAAUAAAUUCACUUUGUUUGAAUUCGAAUUUGAAUAAAAUUUCGGUAUCCGUAUCCCUCGACAUCCCUACUCUUCUCCCGAGUAAAUGAGUUGUUGAUUGGUUGUUCACUAAUGGCGAAUCUCUCUCCAAGUCACUAAAUUAUUAUCUGCUGCACGAUCUGGUUAGUAGAGGAAAGUGUCAAAGUUUGAUAAAAUACACAUCUGAAUCUUAAUCUAUAUCCAUGAGUAGGGCUACUGUACUCUUAUAAGUAUACAGCCUUUAUGAGUAUACAGCCCUUCGUACUCAAAAGUUAUUUUCGAUGAUAGAGCUUGCGAAUCGACGAUCUACUCCGUUAAAUAUGAUCUAGAGUAUUUGAACCUUCUAAAAAUUAAAUUUCGUAAUUUUUUAAAAUCAUAAUAAAGUCUAUCAAGCGGGUAUACAGUAAACGGUCAAAAUCGAAUGACGUCCUAAAAAUAGAUGAUCGGAUCCUUCAAUUUAAGAUCGGAGUUAUUGAUCUUUUUCUAGCUCGUGAAUAGAAUUUUUUAUCAAAAAUUCAGUCUAUUCCAUUUUUUUUACACUGUUAAACUAGCAAGUAUCAUAUACCGGUCAUUAAAAAUUUUUACCGUUGUCUCUAGCGCAGGUGGCAAAAAACUUGGUGGCACAGGUCCCAAGUUCGAAUCCUAAUUGAUUCACAUUUCUAGCUAAUUUUAUUUCUAAAUAAAAUAAACGAAGCGGGUAGCAUGCGGCUUAUCUCUCUCUCAAAAAAAGGGCUAAAUUACAGAAAGCGCCCUUGUCAAAACCAAAUUUUUUACUUUCCCUCCCUGUCAUUUGAAAACCUACACUUUGCCCCCUUGUAAAAUGAAAAAUGUGCACUUCACCCCCUACCGUUAAGAUUCAGUUAUAAAAUAUUUUUUUAUGCCAAAAAUACCCCUCAGCCCUCUUCCCUGUUGCUUUGCUUUCCUCUGGCUCGCCGCCUCGCCGCCUCGCCCUCCUCCGCCGCCUCGCCUUCGCCCUUGUUGCCCUUGUCUACCUUUCCAUCAAGGCCCACCUCGAUUUCCUCCCUACUAUCACCCAAAUCGAGGGGCGGCAAGGGUGCGGGAGGAGAAGGGAAGCAGAUGGAGAAGAAAAUUGUAACGACCCAGCCCACUGGCAAUAAUAACUCGUUGGGCCCAGUCAACAGCCCAAAAUGCUUAAGCCCAGUUAUUAUUACUAGUGUCUAAGUCUCUUAUAAACCCAAUGACAACCCCAUUCCCAUCCGAUGUGGGACUAUUCGGGUGUCACAAAAAUGGAGAGAAAUCGCGGCCGAUUGAGGUGUGAAUCGCGGCCGAUCGAGGCGGCAGUUGAGGAAGAUGAUGGAGGAGACGAAAAUGGUGAGAAGUAAAAUGGUCAUUUUACACACCGUACCCUCCGUGAACAUAUUUUAUUUUACAAAGGGGCAAAGUGUAAGUUUUUAAAUGAGAGGGGGGAAAGUGAAAAAUCGGGUUUUGACAGGAAAGUUUUAUAUAAUUUAGCCAAAAAAAUUGUGACCUUUUGAUUGUAAGAUAAAUGAUGUCGAAAAAUUAUGAAACUUGAUUUCUAAAAAUUUUAAAUGCUCUAAAUAAUAUUUAACGAUAUGGAUCGUCGAUUCUAAAACUCUAUUAUCAAAAACGAUUUAUGAGUAUGAAAACGAUCAUAUUGAUAAGAGUAUAGUAAUCGGACUCCUAUAUCCAUAUCCAUAUCCAUUUUCAUUCGUAUAUCUGGAUGGUACGACUCAUCUUUUUUAUGCGCGCAUCAAAUGUCACAAGCACUCUUUGGUUACACACACAAAAUUUAAAAAAAAAAAAAAACACCCCAUGUUAUCAAAUCUCACCUUCCCUAAGAACAAUUAACCCAUGCUAUAAACUAAAGAUUGAGUUUAGGAGCACAAUUUUUGUUUUUAAUUUUUAAUAUUUGAGGGAGAUAAAAGAGAGGGCAAAGAUAUAUGUUUCCCUGAUUUGUAUCCAAAAAGCCAAAUAGAAACUAAACGGAUUUACUGGUUACGUGAGAUGAUCACUAAAAAAAUCUCACAUAUUAGAUAAAUGGAGUAUAAGUUACAUUCCCCUUCAGUAGCAUUGCUGGAAUAGAGAAAUACUGUUGAUACACCUCAUUGGAAUGUACAAUGUACAUCCUGAUUGGACGAAUUUACUUGUAACAUCCCAAUAAUCCAACAUCAAAUAAUGUGAAAAAGUGUUAUAGGUUUAUAAGCGACGAACGCAUUAGUAUAAAUAACUAGGUUUAAACCUUUUCAGUCAGUGGUUUGGGCCCAUCGUUACGUUUGGUAUCAGAGCCUUAUAAUUAACCAGCCGAAAGCCUGCGAAUCUGCAGUUGUGUGUGUCGUUGGGCUGGGUUUGCGGGAACAUCAGAGCAUGAAUGAGGGGAGUCUAUGUAAAUAACUGGGAUUAUGCAUUUUGAGCCGAUGGUUUAGCCCCAACGAGUUAUUAUUGCUAGCGGAUCGGAUCGUUAUAUUGCUAGUUUGUCAUGAAAAAAAAAAAGAAAAACAAAAAUAUUAAUUUGCCAUGAAAAAUAAAUUUAAAAAAUAAUUAGUUUUAAAGAAAACAAAACAAACGAAAAACAGAAAAAAAAAAAAAAAAACCUAUAAAAAAAAAUUUGAAUCAUUUUUUCAUACUUUUUUUCACCAAUCAAAUAGCUAGACCUCGCAAUCUCUAUUUAUAUCCGUAAGUACCCGCAGGUUACCUGUAAAUUUGCGAGUAUGGAACUAAUUUUUUCCACCCAAAAAAUAAUGGGUAAAACGAGUGAGUACCCAUUAAUCUGUGGACAUUUGGGCAACUCCGAGUGUCCAUAGGUGCCCGCAUAUAUAUUUUUUUAAAUUAAAAAAUAUAUAAUCUUUAUGAUAUUGACUGUAUAAUUAUUAAUUUUGUAUCACAAAAAUUUAGUAUGACAAAAUACUUUUAUAUAAUAUAAUUGAUGAACUUUAAAAUUUUAUAUUGUUUAUUGUAUGUUGUGAUAUUUCAAACAACAAGUUGUAUUAUUUUUUAAAAAAUUAUAUAUAUAUAUAUAUAUAUAUAUAGAGAGAGAGAGAGAGAGAGAGAGAGAGAGAGAGAAAUGCUUCUAUACAUCGGCCAAUUUAAAUCCGACUAUUCAAAUUUUUUAGGUUAAGAUGGUCUUUUACAUAAUGGUAACCUGCUCAACAGGUUACCAAUCAAUCAUAAAGAUAAUAAGGAGACGAAGACGAAGAGAUAGAUCUGGAAGGAAGGGAGGAGAGAGGAAGAGAGAGAAUAAGGGAACGUUGGGUUAGGGGGUGGGGAAGUGGGGAGCGGCAGAUGAGGGGAUGCUAGGUUGGGUAGGAGGGGGAGCAAGAGUCGAGGGGACAUCGGGUUAGGGGGGGUGCCGGAGUCGCAGGGAAGUCGGGUUAGGGAGGGGUGCGGGAGUCGAGGGGACGUAGGGUGAAGAUCAAGAGAGAAGAAAAAAUUAAGAGUACAUAAAUAACAAAUAAAUUCUAAAAAAAGGUGGCUUUGUCACGUCAGCUUCAAGCCAUGGGGAUUAAUAUAGAGUUUAUAUAUUUAUAGAUAUUUGAAAAUAUGCAUUUGCUAAUUACCAAAUUUGAAAAUAUCCAACAAAUUUUCAUUUCCUAAUUUAAUUUUGUUACUUAUCAAAUUAUAUAAUGGCUAAUUUCAUAAGUGAUAAAUCUUNUAGAAAUGUAUAAAAUUUAUUUGAACUAUAACCCCUUUUUGAUCUAUCUAAUUUUUAAAAACUUGAACAUGUAAGUUUUUAAUUCAUUUUAUUUGAGUCAAAUAAUGACUCACAAACUUCAAAAUUUAAAUGCAUCAUUCAUUUUUUACGGACCUAGUUAGCACAUGUUAUAUAAUAUAUGCAAUUACAAUUCUACUAAAAUAAGUAAUGGACCUAAAAUUUAUAUCGAAAGAACCAGCAGAUGACUUAUAUCUGAUAAAAUUAAAUAGUUGGGUAGUGAAAUCAUACCUAUUGAAAGGUUGAACAGUUGAAUCAAAACGAGCCAAAGUUCAAGUAAGUUCUAUACGCUAAACCCUAUUACAUAUAUUGGUUUUGCACAAGACCCCCUUCAAUUUUCAGAAUAUAUAAAAUCCUCCCUCACUAAUUGGGAUAAAACUUCAAAAGGGAGCUCCCCCAACAAGGCAUCGUUCGAGAGUCUCCGUUCCACUAUCACGUGUGUUAGUUUUGUAGUUUGUUCAGUAUUUUCUAAUACUAAAAUUCAAAAAAAAAAAAUCUAUAGGAAAAAAUUAUAAUUUUUGAAUAGAGACAAAACUGAUCCGUGAAUUAAAGCUUCUUAAUGAGACUUCCUUGGAAGGCUCCCCUCCGAUUUUUUUUUCUUCAUAUUUGAAUUGUUCAACUCUCAUAAUUUUGCUCUUUAAAAGAUGUUUAAAUAUUUUGGAGGGUGAUGUCAUAUCGGUCUAUUUUCGACAUAGUAUACAUUGUGCUAUUAUACAUAGUUAGCACAGUCGUCAUAAUUAGGAGUCGCGUACCAAGGUCAUCAUCAACUUCAGUUCGAGAACCGACCGUCCCUAGAGCAAGUAGCAAAAGGCUUGGUGGUUGGCAUCCGAGACCCAAGUUCGAAUCCUAGUUGAUUCACAUUUCUAACUAAGUUUAUCUCUAAAUGAAAUAAAGGAAGCGGAUAGUGAGCUACCUAUCUCUCCAAAAAAAAAAAAAAAAAAAAAAAAAAAAACUUCAGUUCCAGAAGCAUCAGGUAGAGAUUUUAGGAUGCUUCUGGAUGCUUCUCGAACAGUUGAGUCGCGGCAUUGGCCUAGCGUUUGAAAAACUCCAAUAACUAAAAAAAAAAUACUAUGCCUUAAAAUUCAGGCUUGAUGCAGCAGCACCUUAGUCAUCUAUUGAUGGUCGUAAAUGCUAUACGAAUCGAUUAGGUAAAGUGCUGCAGGCAUACAGCGUUCACAUACCAUAAGCAAAUACGGUACACAGACAGUCCAUAUAUUUCCACCAAUAAACAGUACAUUAUCUCCGCCCUUUCAAGCUAUUUUCAACAAUAAAACAUGUAAUUCAACGAUCAGCUUCCUUAAACAUGAUCUACAAUAUUAGAACUAUCUAAAAAUUAAAUUUUAUACGUUUUCGACAUUAUUUGUCACUGACCAUAGCCUAAAAAAUAACUAUUUUAAUAACCAAUAUAGUACGCUGGUAUAUUCAAUAGUGUAGAACAACACAAAUUAAGUAAAAUUUUGAUAAAAGCAAGAUCAGUAUUUCUCACUAUUUUUUAUGAAAUUUUUAUUUACACCCAACCCCUCGACCGAUAAAGUUGAGCCGGCCCUCGCUGCCAAACAGGCCCUGAGCAGAGGUUGAAAUGGGAAUCUUGGCUUGGUCAUGCUAGAUUUUCAUUCCAUUGGGCCCAAGACAUAAGCAUCAACAACAGAAAAUCUCUCUCCGAAACUUAAUUAUUGAGACAAGAAUUUGCAUUGGAACAAAGAAAGAGUGUUUCCAGUGGCAUUGUAACAUAGUCAUUGACACUUUCCAACACCACACCUUCCUUGAUCACACCAAAGCCCAUACAAAAACAAAACAGUUCAUCUGAAAAGCCAAACAAAUGUUGUACUUCUUUUUUGUUUUGUUUUGUUUUUUUUUUUUUUUUGUUUUGGUUCUCCUUUACCACGCUUUGUAAUCACCACUAAAACAAUGGGCAUAUUAUUUGGCUUAAAUCUGAAUUGCUGGGGACUUAAGAUUGUUAGGUUUAAAAUAACUUUUCAGUUGAACUAAAAUUUAGGCGAAAGAUUUUUUUUUUUCCCACCAUUGUUUGUUUGACAGAAAAGCCAAUAGCUUCAAAACAAUAAUUAUCCCAUAAAAAUGUUCACACACAGAAUGAAAAAUGUUGUAACAGCUAAUUUUUUAUCAUUUUUUUCUGUGCCUCUCCUGUAAUAAACUUCAGCAUCACCCAGGGCAAAGUCAAUUAUAACAGUUUAAAAAAACUUUCAGCAUCACCCAGGGCAAAGUCAAUUACAACAGUUUAAAAAAGUUUUGAGUUAGUAGCAAAUUAAUUUACAACGAAUCUAACAAAGAAAGUAGGUAUUUAUGGCCGAAAACAACUUUAUCUCCUCGACUUUUCGGUGAAACAAGCAAACCCUAAACUUUUCAUCCACAGCAUGUGAAGCAACAUGGCAAGAGUAAAAAGACUUAAGUCACUAUAUUAGAGAGGCUUUAACUUUUGCACUUCUCUUUGCUAACAAAAAAGGAAAAAGAAGAAGAAGAAGAAGACGAAGAAGAGCCCAUGUAACAAGAACAAAUAAAUACCAUCACAUGACUACCCUAUUUGAAUAGCUUUACAUUAGGGUCGUAGCAACGUUCACAGCAGCAGAGUAUAAUUAACACUUUUAAUAAUAAAGCAGGAGCAGCAACACCAUAAUUACGAGUAACAGAGCACAGACCUAUACUUGCUUGUAGAAGAGAACAUAAGCUUGGUCAUGAAGGACUUUGUUGGUACUCACGAUUGUGACGGAUGCAUCGUCGAACCGAAGCCACUGGCCGUCGGAAUACCUAGCAUCGGCAGUGUAAUGUCCCUUCGAGGGUUCCAUCCCGUGGUGUGUUAUAGUAGCCACAAGCUCGUAUUUCCGGCUCUACAUUAAAACCAGGAAAGAAAAAACAAAAAGAAAAGAAAAUUGAAGUUUGUGAAAAGUAUCUAUAUCCCUGAACCCACAUAGUUUCAAUUUUUAAAGUUUAAAGCCCAAGAUUUAUUCUGUGUAAUGAUUAAGUCCUUCCAUUAAUCUGCAGUCCAAGAUAAACGACACAUCAGCACAAUUUUAGAGUCUGUGUUGCUACAUGGAAAUAUGGAGGGUACAAUUGAAACUAGCAGGGUGGAAUUAAGAGCAGCAUCAAGCUUUAGGGACUAAAUUCAUUAAUACUCCUCCAAAUGUAGUAAUUUACUUUUUUCAGCCGCCAUCAGAAAUGGAGGUCGAAUGCGGUUUAUAUUGAUUUGAGUAAGGUUGUAAAUAGCGAAUAGCGGAUACAUAGCGUUUGGAGAGUCUCAUAGCGGAAAGCGGAUAGCGGACGCUAUAGCGGGCGCUAUGAACCCAUAGCGGGUUUCAUAAAAGCAAAUUUAAUAUGUUUAUGUUUCUUAUAAAAUACAUAUAAUUUUGGAGAAAAGACCACUAAUCAUUCUUUUUUUUUAGUAUUGAAAGCCUAUAUAUUUAAUGUUAUUAUCUAUUAAGAAUUUAAGAUUAACUUUAAAAUAUUUAGCAAACCAAAAAAAUGACGAUACAUGAUUCUCUUUUAAAAACGGAUCACCUUUUUAUCUUCCAAACCCGUAGAAACAGGGUUUAUUUCAUUUAAGGAUCCAACCCGAUAAGUCAUUUUAACCCGUUUGUAUUUUUUAAAGGUUUGGGCUCAUAGCGCCCGCUUUUUUACCGCUUUAUAGCGGCCGCUUUAGCGGGCGCUACGCCGCUAAAGCGGCCGCUAUGAACCCGAACCGCUAUAUACCGCUUUAUAUAUUAUAGCAUAACGGUAACAUCUAAAAACCGCUAUAGCGGCCGCUAUGGCGGGCAUAACGGCCGCUAUUUAAAACACUGGAUUUGAGAGGUAAAAUUAUUGUAAAUAAAAAUCAGAACAGCAAUCAUAGAAAAAGUGUUCAAGAAGAACUCUUUACGCAGGCUGGUAUAACACACACACACACACACACACACACACACACACACAAAAAAAGGGAAAACGAGAGAGGAUGAAAGCAGAUAAAGCUCACCUCUGAUGAUGGAGAGACAAGUAAAUCACGGCUUAGAACCAGUUCAAGUGGGAAGCGGACAGGCUUAUGCAGCUUAGUGCUUCCCUUGCUUCCAUAACUAAACCUCAUCAAGUGCAGAAUCAUUAUCUUCGAAAGUGUCUGGAUUUUAACAGAUUUGCGAGCGCUUACGACCCCAGCCUGCGAAAGGGAGUUGUGUUUCCAUCUAUCAGAACCAAACGGGAAAUUAAAGGUUGCAUGAUCCUUUAUUUCUUUUUUCCUGCCUUUAAACAUUUUUUAAGACAAAACGAUAGAUGACGGCAACUAACAAAGCCUCAGUUCCUAAUACAAAUAUCACGUAACAAAUGUUAAAUUUCCUUUUGUUUCAUAGGAAAAGGUCUUCCCCUGCUUUAGUUCGUUAUAUUUCCUGGAAGAACUCGGUUAAUUCUUAUGGAGCCUCAACCAAUAUUGAGUUAUGCUCUAGUCAACCACAAUAUGGCACCUUGGUAAGUGCCUUUGAGUUUAGAGAAAUAAACUCUAAUUUCUUCAAAAUUUUAAUUCAAGUUGAAUACAUCAUAGUUUGUAAUUUUAAUCUGACUCGUCCAAUACAUGCUUGACCUUGCAUCAUCCACAUUGGAUGUUAUAGCACUAAGAUGUUUACUAAGCUACAUUAUGACCACUAGAGAACUGUGCGAAGGCAUUAUUCAAAGGUGAGAUGUUUUGUACUUAGAACUUUUAUGCAAACUACAACUAACAAAACCAGAUUAACAAAGAGAUCGAAACAAGAAAAGCAGGAACAUAAGCCACAUCUCAGAACAAGUAUGGCACUGUAUGUUGUUAGCCAAUCCUCACCACUCCAGAACUAGAGUUAAUGUGUUGUAACUCCUGAGUAAUGGUGUACUGUUAUGGCCUGAAUUAUGAAUAUAAAAUGAACAGGUGUAACUUCAUAGAACUAUCUAGAGAGUGUCGACAUAGUUCUAUUGAUUAAUUUUAUGAUAGUCAGCAUUAUGGCUGCUUUUGAAGCAUUGUGCAAGAAAGAACUUGAAAUGCAGGCAAGGACAGUUUUUUCUCCAUAAGACUGUACACCCAGAUAGAAGUUCUGUACUCUAACAGAAAAAGUAAAACGAUUAUUAACUGAAUUGCAUGACACGCCUAUCAACCAAAUUCGACAAGUCAAUAGACAGAAAUAUCAGGAAAAGUUCUGGGCAAUUCAAAUUUUUGGACAAGAACAAACUAUAGACAAACCAACUCCUGUCAAGUACAUUUAAGUCUACAGAAGAUAAAUCACUAAGAAUUAUAACUUAAAAGCAAUAAUGUUAAGAAUAAACAGUGCCUCCUUAGCAAGGAUGCCAUCAAGGAGUAUCAUGAAGAUCAACAAAAUCAGAACAUAACAUACUCGCAGAAAAAAAAGAAAAUCAAAAUAACAAAACUAGCAGACUACUAAUCCCAAAUUUGCUAUGAAAGAAUCAAAGACCAAAAGUUAAUCUCUCUUCUAUUGUAGCAAAAUUAGUAAUGUAUAAUCUUAAUUUCAUAAGAAGUGGAUACCUUCCCAGGUGACGUUCUGUACCCUUCAAGAUUUUCUGGGGCAGAAAAUAAAUGGAGAGCAUCCUCAAUAGUCUGGACAGCACCAGGGAAAAUGUCAAGGUGGAGCAAGAGGAAAGGUUGAACUGUGGCUGAGGCCUUAUUGCCUGUACAAAGUAAUGUUACACUCAUCAUACAACCCAGAGAUAAAACAGAACUGAAAGAACUUAUUAGCUGGAAUAACUCAUUAGAUAUCGCUAUAAUUAUCAGGAAUGUUUUCUAUUUGCAUAGAACCUUCUUCUUAGAGAUGAACACAGUUCACCGUAAACAUUUUUCACCUUCCCAAUUUUUUUACGCUCCAUUCUCUAGGGGAGUUUGGAAGGUUUCUUCAAGCUUGAACAAAACUUUGUAGGUAAGAGAUGGGUUAAUUACACAUUUAGUCCUUCAAAUUAGGGAAGUCAUGAAAUUAGUCCUUGCACAUUCAAACCUUGAGAUUCAGUCUAUAAUUUAGUAAGUGCAACAAUCAAGUCCAAUGAAACUAAGUGAAGAUAGUACGUAAUGACAUCUGACAUGACCUAGAGUAUUCAACUGUACGUAAAUCUUGCCUAACAAAACUCACGUGUCUCGAAGAACAGAUAUUUAGGCAGUCAACGCUCUUGGCAGUGGAAUGCCCCUCGCAGAAGACGUGAGUUUGUUAGGUGGAAUUCAGAUACAAGAGAACCCUCUAGACCAUGUCAACUGCUUUGUAGACUGUUAGGUUUCAUCACUAUUUAAUUUUAGAAAUGAAGAGUAACGAAGGAUUUGAUAGUUACUCAUUUCUGAAAUAUAUGGACUUGAUUGUUAAACUGACAAUAGAUCCCUAAUCGAAAAAAUGUACAUGUAGGGACUAAAUUGGUACCCCAUACCUGACCCAUAUUUCGAGAACUAAGAAUGCACUUAAUCCUCAAGAAAUAUUAACAGACUCACUUAUGAUGUGGCUAGGACCAUCGUUUUCCCUGAAUCCUUCUGUGAACCUCCUUAACAAUAUAGUAACAAUAUCACAAUUUGACAUUUAAUGCCACUAAUUUUCACAGAAAAUUAACGACAACAACAUUGUCCUUAAUAAUGAUCGUCAGAAGAAGUCUUUUACGUCAAUCUAAUAACGGAUGCAGAUAUCAUUAUUUAAGCAUGAUAUAUUAUGGUAAUAAUUGGAAGAGUUGCAUUAUCAAAUAGGAUAACUAAAGUAGUAGAAAUUUCAGGCAUAGUCAUACCAUGUAUAUCAAGACAAGAGACUUAAAUAAUUAUAGAGGUGAAGAAAAGGUGCAAAACUCAAUGGCAACAUAAUUGAGGGCACAGUCAUAGUCAUACCAUCCACACCAGCACAAGGUGUCCUAAAUGUUGUAAUGGAUGUGAAGAAAAAGGAGUGAUCAUUGAGCUAUAAACAUUUAAAUUCUGAUACUGACACUACCCCACUCAGGUAGGAUACAUAAAGGUUGAUAUGUAGAUGAAGAGUCAAUAAUAACAAAUUAACUGAUAUUGAUUCUUACCUGAAAACGGUUUCAGGAUCAGAAAACUCUUCAUUUGAAGAAGAUUUUAUUGUUGCUUUAGAUAAACAAUCUAAUGAGGAUACAGCAAUCUAAUAAAUUUGCUGACAACAUAACAAAAAGGAAUAUAAUCUGCGUUUCUACUUUUAGGAACAGGAUUUAGGAACAGGAUAAAUGAACAUACCUCUUGCUUUCACUACACUUCUUAAUUGACCUCCAAAAAUAGCACUUAAUUCAGAAGGCAUAAAGGUCUGAGUUCUUGUGACAGCAGACUUGUUCUUUGGCCCAACAGUCUCCCAUCCAUCAUCAUCUUCAGCGGAGGAUACAAGAGGCAAGUUCCCAUCUUGUAAACUCGGAAAAUGACCAUUAAGCUUCAGCAAUUCAUCAUGCAUUCGAUCCAUGACAAAGCUUAAAAACUCCUGAGCAUCUUCUUGUCUACAAAAAAGGAAAUUAAAAAAAAAAAAAGCAAUGAUAAAAUAUAGAUGCAAGACUAACAAGAAACUUCAUAUAAUAUUACAAAUUGCAGUAAUGAUAAAAGAGAGAUCCAUUAUUGAAAGUUGACUUCAUCAUAUCAGACUUAAUCAGUGGUGGCAAUUCCUCCCCCAAAGAAAGAAUUGGAUCUUCAGAAAACACCGUGUGAAAUUUACAGUUCAUGUAUGACACAGUUUACAUCAAUGCACUUCAAAAAUAUUUAGAGUUGUGACAAAAGUAGAUUAAGAUGACCGUACACACUUUUGUCUAUAAGUAGUCCUGUACAUAAUUUGAUUUGGUCAAUGCUUACUACUACUUGGCAUUGGUUUCAAUAUUUUGUUUAAAAGAUGAGAAUCAAUUAAAGUUUGAUAAUAAAGGCUAUAGUGCUUGUGGAAAAAGAGAAGAAAAGGUGGAAAAUGAGAAUGAAGUAACUUCACCAAGGAAUAGGUAUUCCUUGCAUGAUAGAUCACAUAAAGGAUUAAAACAACAUUUUUUAUAAGCACAUAAAAGCAAACUGUCCAGAACAACUAGAAUUUUGUCCGCGUUUUCAUCUAACGAAAUGUUAAGACAGUUACAGAUUAUUGGCUUAAUACAAUUAGCAAUGUGUUGACGGCAGCAGAGCCGACGUGUUAGAGUUGAUAAAAUUAUGUAGAGUAACAAGUAAAAGACAAUAUCUAACAAUUGUUUUCUUCUUCACCAUUAGCUAACUAGGCCAUGAUUUUAACAGAAAACUGGAACAAAAGAUGAAGUUCCAUAUGACAAGUUUGAUUUUAUCAUGGCUAAUAUCAUACAAAAAUUUUUCAACUGCAGAAAUCAACAUGACAUACCUUGGUCGUGCAGACAUUCCUGUAGGCAAAUCUGGAGUAAAGUUUUGCAAAACAGCAUCAAACAUGAUGGGACUCAAUGACUUCCCAGACUCUAGAACUCUCCUCUCACUGUUCUUUGCACUUGGAUCCUCAGGCAUGUCGAAGUCAGAUAUAAACUCAACAAAAGCAUUUAAUGUUGGAUAGCCAAUCUAGAUAACAAACAAGUAUAUCAGAAGAACAGUAAACCAAGGUAAGCAGAUAAAAGUAAUUCAUAUAAUGCUUUAAAAGAUCAAGACCUUCGGGAUAUUUUGAUUCCUAAGAUCCUGCAAAAGCUGGACGAAAGGUGAACACGAAAGUAAUGCCUGCAAUGUAGCAUUAAGGAAGCAUAAAUUUCCGGUAUUCACUAAGCCACGUGGAAGUAUGUUCUUGGGCAGAGUUACUGUCUCAUUAGAUCUCUUUGGCUCAUCUACUGCUGCAGUCACAAUAGCUGGUGAAUCAACAGUUGUUGCAUCCUUGUUUUUCUUAACUUGAACCACAUCACCAUGCACCUUUUUGCUUCCAACAAAAUCAUUGUCAGCUACGUGCGUAGAAACUAAAGCUUCUGCGUUCUUUCCAUUCGCAAGGACACCAUCAUAAGGAGAAAUGGAACUGUACGGUCCUCCAUUCACCUGGGCAGCUCUACCAUUUUGUACAUUAUGACUUAUCUUUUCUUUCUCAUCCUUCCGUUUACUAUCCUUCGUAACAAUCUUAUUGCGACUAUCUUUUGGUAAAUCAGUUUGCUUGGUGUUAGAACUGGAACCGUUAUGCAAACUUAGAGAAGAGAAGUCCAAUGACCCAAACUGCAGUCCUGUUGUUUCCGGAGAGCAAACAGCAGGCUUAUCUGAUUGCUUUUGAAAUAGCCUAGUCUCAUCUUCAGUGAAGGACCCAAACAAAAAGAACUGCUAAAUUAAGUAUAGGACGCAGUAUUAAUAAGGGCAUCUCAGAACUUGAAACCACAGAGACACAGAUGUGCUUUCUUGCAUUCAGACAAAGCGAACAUAAGUAAAUUUAGAUGGCAAUCAAUUGGAGACCACACCCGUCAACCAGCAUGAACUAUAAAACUAAGAAUUAAGAUCAUUUAGGCAACACAUAGAUGAUGAAAUCAGCUCGCAAUUAUUAUCCACAUAGUGGCCUCCGAUAGCACCUGUUGCAGAAAGUUGUCUAAAGAAGACACUGACCAAAGACAAAACAUUUGAACUCUAGCUCAUAUUUUGAAUCCCAUAGUAAACUAUAUUCCAUCGACCAGCAAGUUACAAUAUUCAGAUCCACCACCUCCCACAGAGCCUAUAUAUCAAAAACUUUUUCUUUCCACAGCACAAAAGACCAAAGUCACACAUAUCAUUAAACUUUAAAUCGCUUAAUAAGCAAUCGCAAUAUAUCAUCAUACGCGUUAUAAAGAGUUGAAACUAUUUUUGUGUCGCACUUUUCAUGAUGAUAACAUCUGUUUAGACAUUACAAUCACUACAAUGUGACAGAGAAUCAUACAAACAGCAAUCUUUUAACUUAGCAAGGGUCUGCAAUCAAAAGUAAGACUUGAUAUGACGCAUUCGACGACAAAAACCGGAUUAACCUACAACACUACAAACACAUAUACCCGAAAUCCAAACGUAGUACGGAUGAGUAAACACAAGAAAGAUCACACAAGCAUCCCAAUUCUCUAGCAUUUACAUCACAAUCAACAAAAGACGCCGCGAAACAAUAGACAACACAGCUAAAUUUCAAAGUUCCAUCGCGGGAUAUAUACCUCGCCGCCGCUCAUCUCGCCUGGAGAACCGAGGAACCACCACGAAAGGAGCAGGAAACCUCAAAAGGAGCCUCUUGCAGGGGCGAUCGGAGCCGUAUCGAAGGGGAGGAAACUAGGGUUUGGAACCCGGCCGAGUGGAGAGAGGGGAAGCGGGGAGGAGACAUGAAAGAGCGAGAGGAGACACCGAGAUAGCGAGAGGAGGGGAGGGGUGCGAGCAUUUAAAGGCCGCCGCCGCCGCCGCCGCCGCGACGAUCCGGUCACCGCCACCGCCGACGCGGCGGAGCAUCGACCAAAAGGAUUAGGGUUGGGGCGAAGAUACGCAGGGUGAGCGCACCGCGACGCGAACGGCGGCGAAAAGGUGGGUGAUGAAUGAGAGAGAGAGAGAGAGAGAGAGGGGUAGGGUUUGGGGUGAUGAAAAAGGCUUGGAUGGGAGUUUAUAUUAUUAUUGCGUUCGUUUCAUUCGUAUUCCCGGAAGAAAGAUUCCAUACUCAAAAACGACUUUUGAUACUAUACUACUAUCUAUAAUAUAAUAUUUAAAAAAUUAUUUUACUAUAUAGUUUUGAGUCAUUAAAAAUACUUUUUUGAUUAUUUUUAUUAUUGAAUAAAUAAUAUUUAGGCUUUGUUUGAGAUUGCAGGAAAUUACGUUACAUUGAAAAAAAAUCCUAUUUAUUUUCAUACACAUAUGGCGAUGAGUCGGUUAUAAUAUAUUUUUUGCGAUCCCAUCGGAGAAAGCAUAAGCAUAUCCCUACAUGCUUUUACCCCAACUCUAUUUUAUCUAAUAGCAUUAGAUGGAUCUCAAUACCAAACUAAGCCUUAAUCAAUUACCACUAAAUCGUAGGAGACCACUAUUAAACUCUAGGGAAUCACUAUCAUCCUAACUGUACAAGUUUUUAUCUAAGGGUUAAAAAUUGUCCAAAUACUAUUAAUAGUAUAGAAGCUCAAUUCCUCAAAAAAAAUAUAAAUUAAUAAUUUUUUUGAACUUUAAUAAGUGAGAGUUAUAUAUAAUAAGGGCGAAAGUGGUUAGAAUAAACUGUGAAUUCAACACCGGAUUUGAUUGGAUGCGAAUACGGAUGUCAAAAUUAUGUAUCGGGUUGUAUUCGAAUAUUAUAUUUAUAAUAUUUUCGAAUUCGGAUUUGGAUAUGAAUAUAUAGAAAAUUUUGAUUUUGAAUUUGGAACUGAAUUCUGAUAUCCGAAAAUUAAUAUAUGUUAUUAAUUCAUAUAUUGUGAAAAUAAUAAUAAUAAUAAUAAUAUUUUUCUACAUUUAAUAAUUAAGAUUAAGAUUAAAUUAUAGUUAUAAAUUUAGUUUUGAAAAUAUUGAUUGAGGUUUGAUUGUUUUUUAUGGGGAGAUGAGAGGAAUGUUAAUAUAUAUAUUAUAUAUUAUUAUAUAUAUUAUGGAGGAAUAAGGUGGUUUUUAUUGUUUUUUUCAUUCAUUUUAUCAUGAGUUUUAUAUCAAAGUUAUAUUUACUUUUUAAAAUUUUAAAUGUUAUUUAAUAAAAUAUGGGUAUAUAAAAAUUUGAAUAUGAAUGUGAAAUUUUAGUUAAUAUUCAUAUAUCUAUAUCUAUAUCUAUAUCUAUAUCUAUAUCUAUCUAUAUCUAUAUCUAUCUAUACUAUAUAUAAAAGCGUAUAGAAAUUCCGACAAUGACAGACGGAAUCCAAAAAUAAAUAAAAUAAUAUCCCCUACGAAUGGUUGUGAUUAAUUUUUUAAAAAUAUCUCAAAUAAAAGCAAACGAUUAUGAUCAAUCUAUUAAAUCUCUACUAUAUCCAAAAAAAAUAAAAUAAUAUUCCCUAUGAAUGGUUAUGAUUAAUUUGUUAAAAAUAUCUCAAAUAAAAAUGAACGGUUAUGAUUAAUCUAUUAACUCUCUACUAUAUAUAAAUAUUUAUUCUCUACAAAUGGUUAUGAUCAAUUUGUUUAAAAUAGCAUUCCUAUUCAUCUAUUUUACAUUAAAAUUAAAUUUUGAUUUUAAAUUAUGAAUUAAAUUUAAAUUUUGAUAUCAAAUUUGAAUUAACAAUUAAUUUUUUUAUUACAGUAGAUGAAAAUUAAAUUUUAAAUUUUAAAGUAAAUGUGAAUUAAAUUUUGAUGCUUUUAAUUUAAAAUACAUAUUUAAAUUUGAUUCAUCAAAAAUCAAAAGUAUAUAAAAAUGUUCGAUGUAUAUAAAAAAAAGAAUACUGUAGGAUAUUAUAAAUAUUUUCUAAUAAAAUAUAACAUAUCAACAUAUAAAUAUAAUUUUUAUUGUAAAAUUUUGGAUAUAUAUAAUGUACAAAUUUAUAUUGAUUUGAAAUAAAUUAUAAUAAUUAUUAUGUGCAUUUGCACGUACAUUCAACUAGUUAGUAUAUAUUACUAUACAAAAAAUAUUUGAAUCCGAAGAAAUAUCUGAUUUUAUUCAAAUCUAAUUUUAACAGAUAUUAUAAUAAAAAUUUAGCAUUCGACAAAUAUCUGUAUUCGAAUUCGCAUACGAGAAAAUAUAAAUGUGAAUAUGGUUUCACCAAAUAUUAGAUCAUUUUAACCACUAGUAGGUAUAUAAAGACUCCAUGGUAGUGUAAAAAUAUAUGUAAAAAAUCUCUAGUUUGGGCCAAUUUAUAAUGAGAUCCAAAUUCCAAUCCUUUUUUCUUUUUUAUCAAAUGCAUGAGGAGUGCAUUAGUUGGUGCAAGCAUUCAUGCGGGUCCAAUGGAUUCAAAUUCAGAUUUUGUACUUAAUUUUAAAUUCAAUUUUAAAUUUAAAAUUUAAUAUUUUAAUUUAAUUCAAAUUUAAAUUUUAUUUUUAAAUUCAAAAUGUGUCAAAUUCAGAUUUUGAAUUCAAAUAUCAAUCCAAAUUCACAUUCAGAUUUUGAAUGCAGCAUUUUACAUUCAAAUUCAAAUUUAAAAUUUAAUUUAAAACUUAAAAUUUUAAAACAUAAUUCAGACUUUAAAUUCAAAUUAGAAAUUUCAAUUUAAUUUUAGAUUUUGAAUUUGAAUUCAAAUUUAGAUUCAAUAUUGAUUAAGAAUAUCAAAACUAAAUAUCAAACUUCGUAAUCAAAUUUUAAUUUUAAUUUCAAAGUCAAAUUUAAAUUUUGAAUUUGAAUUUGAAUUUCUAAUUUAGUUUAAAAUUAAAAUUAUAGCUUUAAAUUCAAACUUAAAUUUUUAACUUUAUAUUUUUAAUUUAAAAUUUAAAUUUAAACUUUAUUGCACAAUUGAUUUCCAAUCUUUUCAAUUGUUAACUUUGGUUCCUAAAGAAGCUAUGUAGAUGCUCAAUUAGAGUCUGUUUGGUUUUACAUAAAACUAUGAAAAAUAUUUAAAUGGAAAUGUUUUUUCAAUGAAAACAUAACUUUACGGGUUUUUGGUGUUAUAAACAUUACAUUAAUAUAAAUUUAGAUAUUAUUAUAUUUUAAUUUUAUUUAAUAUAUUAAAAAGUAGAGAUAAAAAAUGUUAGAUUUAAUCGUGAUAUUUUUUGAAAUGGAAAAGUAGAGGUAAAACCUGGUAGGUUUAAUCGUGGUAUUUUUUUUUUUUUUUAAAGGAUGUUUGGUNUUAAAUAUAAUUACAUUACAAAUAUAUAAUAUAUAAUAUAUAAUAAUUAUAUAUUUUCAAACAAAAAAUAAAAUAUAUAUAAAAUAAAAAAAUAAUAUAAUAUAUGUAUAACCUAUAUCAUAUUAUUUUAUUUUAUAUAUUAUGCAUAUUUUGUUACCCAAUUAAAAUGGGUGAAGGUCCCAAGAAAAAUGAUGAAUUAUUAUUGUGUGCACGUACUGCAUCCAUGCACCACACUGAUUACUUUUCUAAUUCGUUUAAUAUAUUUAAUUAUUAAUUUUAAAUAUAAAAAGACCUACUAAAUAUGAAUGGUAGAGAUUAAAAAAUAGUGAAAGAUAGGUGUAACAUGGCCAAUUUGCAUAAAAAAAUUCACAAAUUUUGAGCUUUUAUAAAACUAGACUAUUUUUUUCAAUUUUGCAAAUUCAGUCCAAAUUUUUCACCAUCAAACGAAAAGACCCUAUUCCUUUUCCUUCUUCUCUUCUUUUGUUUUCCUUCGUUAUUUUUUUUCUCUCCAACCCUCAUCACCUCCUCCGUCGUCGGCUCUAAGCGAUGGUAACAAGGGCGACACCGCCUCUUCUUCUUCCACCUCCACUGGCGUUAAAAAAGGAGAACGUGAAAAAUAUUUUAUAUUUUUUUUCUCUUCAACCCUCCUCUAUUGCCUCUGCAGCCUUUUGCUACGGUAACAGAGACGGCGCCGCUCGUGAGAGUUAGGACAAAAAACGCGCUUGCGGUUCUCUAAAGAGUCCUUCCUGCGAUGGCGGUGGCUGCGAUGGGGGGCGAGAGAGAGGCAUGACAAUAAAAACAAUUAUGGAGAAAAAAAUAAAAAUAAUAAAAACUAAAAAUAAAAAAAUAUUAUAUUCAUACAGAAAAAGCCAAAAAUUAUAAGAAAAGAAAGAAAAUGAUAAAAUUACACUGUUAAAAUAAAGAUAAACUGUUUUAAAAAAAUUUUGCAUUAUUUUAUAUAAAAAUUACACUGUUUGAGACAAAAAUUACACCUUUUGAGAUAAGUGUUACACUCUUUAGGCAAAAAUUGUAUUAUUUGGGCGGAAUUUAUACCAUUUCUCCUCCUCAUACUCCAAAAAUUUACACCAUUUUGGACUCAUGAGUGAACUUUAUAUCAUUUUACACCAUUUUGGAAAAGCUCCUUCAAGAAUUUAAUUUCACUUACAAGUUUCGUAAAAUUUAAUAGGUUGAGAGCUUUAUCUCUCCCGCGCGCUCCUUAUGCAACAUAAAAAAAUCUAUCAAUGAAAUGGAGGAGGUGUGGUCGUGGAUCGCCUCGCUCCCCUCGUCCCCCUUAUGGCCCACGUCCCUUGUCCUUGCCGCUUUCGACCACUACUCCAUCCUUUUCCUCGUCGACCGCACCGUCGCCUCCUACGCCGACGCCCACGCCCAUGGCGAUCCCCGCCUUUGACCACCACUCCAUCCUUCUUCUCGCCGACACCCCCGCUGUUGCUGCUUUACCUACGCCGCCGAGGCCCACGGGCUCUGGCUCCUCAAGGGCUUCGCCCCGGUCCCCACCAUGGCUCGCGUCCAUGGCUGCUCCGCCACCGCACGACGCGAAGGGCAUGGCGCUGCGGUACACGCUAGUGCACCAACAGCUCGAGGCCGCGGUCCAACUCGAGUACUUCGUCUCCAUGCGGGAUCCACGCUUCAUCCUCGUCGGGGUACGCGUCAACAUACGCCUCCGACACCGAGGAAGUCCUUGAGCUUCAGCAGAAGGGAAGGAGGAGGAGGAAGUAGAAGAGAAAAAGAAAUAGUAAAAAUUUCACGCAAAUUGUGCAACUUUCGUCUAAAAAGUGUAACUCUCAUCCUAAAGAGUGUAAUUUCUGUCUCAAAGAGUAUAAUUUUUAUUUAAAACAGUAUAAUUUAAUUUUAACAAUACAAUUUUAUUUUCUUCUUUCUUCUUCUAUGAUUUUUGAUCUUUUCUGCAGGAUUUUUUUUAUUUUUAUUUUAUAUUAUUCUUAUUUUUUUCUUUUUGAAAAAAAUUUUAGAUAAAUAAUAAACACAUUGCAAUUUCAAUUUUUUUUUACGUUCUCUUUCUUUUGAUGCCGGCGGAGGCGGAGACGGAGGCGGUGGAAGAGGAGGCAGCGUCAAUCUCGUUACUAUCACCGAGGGUCGAUAGUACGUGCCGGUGGAGGAGGAGAUGGAGGGAAAGGAAGCGGCGCCGCCCUCGUUACCAUUACCGAGGGCCGACGACGGAAGAGGCGAUGAGGGUCGGAGAGAAAAAAAUAACAAAGAAAAAAAAAAAAGAGAGAAAGAAAAGGAAUAGCAGUAUUUUCGUCCGAUGGCAAAAAAUUCGGCUUGAAUCUGCAAAAUUGAAAAAGACGGUCUAAUUUUGCAAAAGCUCAAAACUUGUGAAUUUUUUAUGCAAAUUGGCCAUGUAAAAUUAAAAGAAAAAAAGUGGUGUAGGAAUAUGUUGCAGCUGGUGUAUGCAAUAUUCUAGAGAAGUGAAAAAAGAGUUUCGGUCCACACGUUCGGAAUGGCAUCAAAGCUGCACCCAUGCACCCACGCUUAGCCUAAAUUUUCAGCAAAUCUAAAAAUAUAUUUUUUGAGAAAACACUUUUACGAGCAAACAAAUAAACAAAAAAAUAUUUUUUGGACCAAAAAUAAUUUUCACAUGAUUUUUAUGUUAAAUCAAUUAUUUUUUUAGAAUUAAUAGGGUUCUAACACGACGCACCUGUUUUAAUGAAAAGGUUGGAAACUUGAUUGUGAACAAAAAAAAAAAAAAGUUUAAAGACUAAAAUGAAAAAAAAUAAAGAUAAACUACAAAUACCAUAAAAAAUUUCAAAUACCGAUAUAUGAUUUUUCGAAUAUUCACUUUAGGGUGCGUUUGGUUCGCAUUAUGAAAGAUUACUAGGAAUAAAAGAUAUCCAAGAAUUUUAUUACUAUUCAUCCUAUUACUAAGAAUGUGGAAUUUCUGUGUUUGGUUCACACAGUAAUAUUAAUUAGCCAUGUUAUUUAAUAUUACAAAAAAUAUACAAUUAAUUUUAGAUAAUGUUACCAAAAGUUUCAACAUCUUUUUUAAAAAAAGGGAGAGAGAGUAUAAGUUAGAGAGAGAGAGCAUAAUUAAAAAAAUAGAAAGAAAAAUAUAGUCGAAAUUAGAGGGAGUGAGAAAGUUGAAAUUUUAGAAAGAGAGAGAGAAAGCUUAGUUUAGAGAGAGAAAAAAAAGCUGAAUUUUAGAGAGAAAAAUAAGUUUAGAGAGAGAUAUAAUGUUAGAGUGUAAAGAAAAAUAAUAUCAAUUAGCUGGCGGGUAGGAAGAAAGAAAGAGAUUAGCCAUAUUAUGAUUACCCCAAUCCAUUAAUAUCAGGAUACCCACCAUCCCUCAAGGGAAUGAGAUUAGUACUUUGGGGUGAAUCUUAUUCCCAAGUGAAUCUACUAUUACCAACUAGAUUGCUUAGUAUGUUUUGCCAAACACCGUCAUACUUUUUUAUUCUCAUUGGAUUAUUAGGAAUCUUUAAAAGAUAGUGUGAACCAAACGCACAGUGCCUUAUGAUUUACUGAAUUUUUAAUUUAAUACUCCAUGAUUUUAAUUUAUAACUGGCUUAACAAAAAAAAUAGGGAAAACUUCAAAAACCCCCCCUGUGGUUUCGUGCAUUCUCACUUUGCUACCCUGUGGUUUAAAACGUAUCAAUUUACCCCCCUGUGGUUUCAUUUUUAUCUUUUCGGAAGCUUUUUCGUUAAUAUUUCGUUAAAUUAUAUACAAAAAACUUCAGAUAACCAUCUAUAUUUAUCGAAUAGUCACUUUAGUAUCCUUUAAUUUUAACUUUGUCACUGAUUUUAAAAAAAAAUAAUAAUAAAAUUGAUAACAAAAAGAUAAAAACGAAACCACAGGGGGGCAAAAUGAUACGUUUUAAACCACAGGGUAGCAAAGUGAGAAUGCACGAAACCACAGGAGGGGUUUUUGAAGUUUUUCCAAAAAAAUAAUAGAAGAGAUACGAAAAGAAAAAAAUAAAAUUAUUAAAUACGAAAAUGAUAUAUUUUAAAUUAUUUAAUAUUAAAAUAAAAAAAAUAUGAACUACAGUAGCGACAUUUAAAGUUUUUUCAAAAAUUAAAAUGGUUGGGAUCCAAUGAAUAACUUUCCAACUCCCCGGCGCAUACCCGCAUUCCCCAGUUUCGACUCGGACACGCGUUGCAGCCAAUCAUGUACCGCCACGUCGACAAAACUCUACUACAUGUUACAUUUCAAACAAAUAAAAAUCAUAUAUUAUUAUUAUACGCAUAUAAAUCGACCCGUCGCCCGAAACGACCCGCAUCAAUUCCCCUCCCCCGCUUACCCGCGUUAUCCAAAUCAUCCUCCGCGAGACACCUCACCGCAUCUCUCUCUCUCUCUCUCUCUCCCUCUCUUCGCCCCGCGUUUCGAAGCUCGCGUCCCCGUCCAUGGCGACGCGGCGGAGACCCCCCUCGUCGAGCACCUCGAGCGCCCCUCCGAUCGCCGACGAGGUCCGAUCCCGAGAUCCUAAGCCAUCCGCGGCGGCUGAGGACCCUCCCUUGGCGCCGCCGAAGCUGGGGUUCGUCGCCGCCGCCUCCGCGCUCUUCUUCGUCCCCUUCUUCUACCUCGCCUUCGUCCACUACCCGAUCGAGCCCGAUCUGCGGCGGUCCAUCGCCAUUAGCGUCGCCAUGAGCUUCGGCGGCUUCCUCGUCGCCCUCCGGAUGAUCCCCGUCGCCGCGCGCUACGUGCUGCGGCGGAACCUCUUCGGGUACGACAUCAACAAGAGGGGGACUCCUCAGGGCACCGUAAAAGUGUGAGUCUUUUUCCAAUUUUAUUUAAAUUUAGUUAUAUAUUUUUUUCUCGUUUCUGAUGAGGAGUUCCAAAGUUUAAUGUGCGAAAAAUGGUUAGAGAAGGGCAAUUAUUGCCAUGGUUGAUUACUAUUAGUUUCUACCUUUAAUGUAAAUUUUGCAAUUAUGAAAUUCUCCUGCAUUAACGAUGCGUCACAUCCCAAUUCCCAGAUAUUAGCAUUUUGCACGCACUCGAGGAUAAUUGAGAUUGCAAACCCUGUUUGGAUGCCUGAAUAUCUUAUUCGAUAUUUUUUUUCUUUGAUUUACUCAAAAAAUUUAUAUAUUUGGUAGACGAGUAGUGUGAUCAAUUGUUUAGAAUGAGAUGCCAUAUUUGGCUUUCAAGUCAUUUUUUUCUACUUAGAUAAAUCACCUCCUACAUGAAACAUGCUAUGCUAUCAAAUAAUGGAUAUCAAGACAUUUCAAGGAGCAAAAAUCGAACUCCUUACUUCCAAUCAUGCAAGAAAAUCUUCACACUGAAUAAGUUAUUCUUGGAUAACUUAUUCCAACAUCCAAAAGAGUCUUAGGGUAUCUAGUGUUCCUGAGAACAUAUUAUUAGUAUAUAUUGGUUGGACUACUUAGCUCCCUGCUGAUUGCUGAUGUAAUAGGGAAAAAAGGGCAAAUUUCUUCUUCUUUUUUACUUUUUUUCUUUUGGUUGGUGGUUUUGGGAAGUAAACUUGAAUUAAUUGUCUAACCUUUGCUAACUUUAAGUUAAUACUUCUCGGUACUUUUCAGGAGGUCAAUGAAGUUGAUCAAAUGUAGAACAAUCCUAGUAUCGCUUACCUUUAGUCAUAUAUUUGAAAGUUACCAGGCCAACAUGAUUAUGAUGACGAUACAUGAUUUCUGAUCAAAGAGACUAUAUAUGCAGUGAGACUGGUUGGGUGUGAUCUCUUCUGGUGCUAUAAGAUGAAUUAUUAAACAUGAUGGUUGCAUUUAGAGGUUCAUACAACCAAAGGAUAGUUUAAUUUAAGGUUUUAGUUGAAUCAAAAAGAAAUCUUUUGUACAUUUGGAAAAUUUUCUUAUGGAUAUAUGUAUUUAAUUUCAAAUAGAUUUAUUGUGUUUAGGUCUGAUUUAGAUACAUGAUAGAUAGGAUAUGAUUAGCAAAUUUUCAAAGUUUUAAGAUUUAUUUCUGGAAAGGUUUCAAGUUACUUUGGCGAGUCCUUAUUAUACUUUCUUCUUCUCUGAUUGUUUAUCUAAAUUCAUUUCUCUUUGUAAUGAUUUUCAAACCUGUUGUGAAUAAUAUUCUUGACUUUCACCCUCUGUCUCGUACACCAAUCAUCCAUUUUCUUUCAAUAGGUUGAUAUUUCAAUUUCUUCACCAGUUCAUAGCUUCUGACACUAAACUCCAAGCCAACAGGGUUAUCUUUCUCUUAUUUUAGCUUAUAAUAUAUCAAUGGUCCUUCGACCUUUCAGUUUGUUCUGGAAGGAAUAAAAGAUUUCGAUAGGUUGUGGAACCUUCUUCAUCAUGCUUUGACUCUAAACAACUAACAGACUUUAAUUGGAUGAAAAAAUUGCUGGUUUUUAGCACUUCUGUUGUGCCAUGUUGCUCGCUAAGCUUCCUAAAAAGUGGCCUUGAUGAUUCUCAAACUGUUUUGGACUUUAUAUAAGUAAAUCAAAGUGUUUUGAGCCUUAUAUUAUUAAACUUGCUAUGCUAUAUUAAUCUGUUCCUUAUUGAUUUGCUACAACUUUUAGAUAUUUAGACCUUUUAACAUUGAGAAACUCGUAAGUAUUUACGUCUCUAUUGGUUUCUUGUUCCAUGUGAUUGUUCAACUAUCGUUUCUAUUUUAUUCUUUCUUGAAUUUAUUCUGUAAUAGGAAUGUAACAAAUAAUGGCUGUCAAUCUCACGUUAUCUUGCAGCUUAAGUUGAUUUAUAUAUCUUUAACAGUGUGGGUAACACUUUCCGAACUGUCAUGAUGUUUACACUUACAGUGCACUUGUCUAAUAUAUAUCAAAGUGAAUGGGUCCAUUACAAUACAACAAUAUUUGGUGCGUACAUCAAUAAAGUGUUAUUAGCUGACCACCUUGAUAGUUUAUCUAAUCUGUUAAAUUAACUGGACUCUUUAAAUGGGCACUGGCCAAAUAUGAUCAAUUUCAAGUUCCAGUCCAUUUUGACUAAUCCUAAUGCUGCUUCUAUUUCAGGCCCGAGUCACUUGGUAUUGUCAUUGGAAUUGUCUACUUGGUCAUUGCUAUAUUGUUUCAGCAUUUCAACUUCACAUCUGACUCCAACGUAUGUUUUUCCAUUCCUUGCCCUUCAGCAAUAUGUUACUGAAUUGUUUAGCAUUUUACAGCAUACAAAAGUCCAGAUAAUUUGCAAGCAUAGAGAAGUUUUAUUUCUCCCAAAAUAGUUGUUUAUAGUUAAGCAGGUGAAUUUAACCGUAAUAAGGAGCUUUUCUUGAACAAUUAUCCCAUUGUUUAGCUACUAGCAGACUAGACCUUAAUUAGUUUGGGCUUCCACACCUUCAUUUAAGUAAUGUUUUGAGUAUCCUGGUAGCAUAUAUGAGUUGUUGAGUCUUGUAAUGCUCUUUAUGAGUUGUUGAGUUGUUUUGUUUAUUCAUUUAGUGAGGGUUUUUGGCUUUGGGUUUAUAAAUUGACUUGCACGAGAAUGUAAUUUAAAUUUCUUCUCUGUUAAUUUUUGGCUACUACGAUACUGUAUGGGAUAUUGUAUGGUUGUUUUGCAAAAUUCAUUCUUUUCUUUACAUCUAUAAACCUCAUGAAUACUCCUAGAAAUUUUAUUUUUAUGUCCUGCGUAACUAUUUGCUUUUUCACGGUGUUCCAUGAAUAUUGUCCCAAAACUCAUGUUAAAGCAGUCAGGUAGUCCACUUAAGAGGCACGAGCAAAUAAUGUCUCUUAUCUCUUAUCUCGAAAUUACAUGGUCUUGACAAGAGUGGUCAUCUCUCUUCAACUUAUUCUGUUACCUAAACAUAUGGAGGCUAUCCUUAAGGCCCUGUUUGGACGCAUGGAUAUCUUAUUUUGGGCUUUGAUUUACUCAAAAGUUUUAGUAUUUGGUAGAUGAGAAAUGUGAUCAAAUGUUUAGAAUGGAAUAACAUAGUCCACUUUCUAGUUAAUUUUUCGAAAUAGGAUAACACCUUGUAGGUGGGGUAUGUUAUCCUACCAAAGCAUGGAUGACAAGACCUUUCAAGUAGCAAAAAUUAAACUUUUUGUCUCCAAUCACACACAAAAAACUUCAUGCCGACUAAUUUAUUCAAGGAUAACUUAUUCCAGCAGUCAAACUAGUACUAUUUGAGAUUACAAACAUACUAAUUUUCUGUACAAGUGAUAUCUAUUGUGCUUUUUUUUUUUUUCAAGCCGUCACUCAUUUAGAUGUUGGAUAUGGCAUCAGCUUAGUUCUCGUCGCUGUGACAUCAAAUAUUCCGAUGACACGUUAUCUCUUAUCUAGUUCAGAGUUGUAUUGAGUGAUGCUUCUGAAAUUUGCCUCACUCAAACCUUAUUUAUGCUCCCAGAACCAUCACUUUUGCGCCUAAGUAUAUGUAUGAUUAUUAUAUAUUCUGAAUUCAAUGCCAUGAUUUGGUUGGAAUUUUGCUGUUUGAAAACUGGAAGGAUUAACUUUAACACAAUGCAUCGGAUGAUAAUCUGCUAACAAUUUAUCUAUUCUAGUUGAAUCAUCAGUUUGUUAUCUUAAAAUAGAGAGAAGCCUAUGUUUCUUUUUCGUUAGAUUAAAAUGCUUUUAUUUUGAUUAAUCAUGGAUUUGGAAUUCUUUCCCCCCUCUUUACACUGAGCUUUAUUUUUUGCAGUGGCUUGUUGAGUACAAUGCUGCACUAGCAUGUAUCUGCUUUAUGAUUCUCCUUGGCUUUGUGGAUGAUGUUCUUGAUAUACCAUGGAGAGUGUAUGUUCUUCAAUAACCUUGUGAUUUCUCAAAUUAUUAACAUUUACUUUACUAGCUUAACUAUUUGCUUCUUGAGUCAUCAGUUUAUUACCUAGAGUAUGAUGAUUUUAGACUUAUUAGACAUCAACUGUUGUAAACAGGAAAUUGGUGCUGCCUUCAUUUGCAGCACUUCCUUUAUUGAUGGCAUAUGCUGGGCAUACUUCUAUCAUCAUACCGAAGCCUCUAAUACCAUAUGUUGGAGUGCCUGUUCUUGAUUUAGGUAGUUUAUAACUUGAUCAGUUUAACAAAUUUUCUCUUGGUACAUUAUGAGGUACAAUAGCAUAAAUUUGUAAACAUUUUAACUAAAACACAAUGAAAUGUAGUAAAGGAUGCACAUAAUGUAAUAAUAGCACCAUGCAGUCUUCUUUUACACAUUGCCAACUUUGAAAGAAGUUGUGGGGCAUUUAGUCAAUUUCUACUCAUCAGCUAAAGGAUAUUCACUUUUGUAGACUCAUUUAUGUUCUGACAUCAAAACUUAAAAGGAAGUGUUACUGCCUUUGAAUUACUCUGUGGAUUGUUGGAGUCGAGAUUGAACUCAGAAAUCAGACAUACAUGAGACGUGUAUGUUCACGUAUUAUCCAGAGGACUAUUCUGAGGAGGUCUUGCAUUGGGUCCAAAAAUGUGAGUACACAAUGAGUUUGGAAUAUAAUUAUCAGAGAUUACAGUUUGUUCAAUACCAAAUACAAGCUUACAUCAUCAUUAGGGGAAGGUCUAGAUAUUCUUUUUCUUUAAAAACAAACCCGCAGAAGGCAAAAAAAAAAGAAGAAAAGAUUAUAGUGAAAAUAGAGAAUGAGAAGGAAAACAUUGUGGAAAGUAUAAUAGGAAUAUUGGCACAUACUACAUAUGCAAGUCUGAUUAAAUUAUUUGCUUGAAAUUACUAUGACUUAAUUUACUUAAACCCAUGAUCUGAAAUAUGUUACUGUUUUGCAUUUUUUAUGACAUUGCAUCUACCUUUGUUUUAUUUUAUUCUAUUUUUUCAAUAUUUUCUUUUGGAUGGACAGGUUGGAUAUACAAGCUAUACAUGGGCAUGCUAGCGGUUUUUUGCACAAAUUCUAUCAACAUACAUGCAGGUUUGAAUGGCCUUGAAGUUGGGCAAACUGUUGUAAUUUCAGCUGCGGUAAGAAUAAAACCUCCCGGACUGAAAUCCUCUACAUUGUUCAAUUUCAAUAUAAUCAUUAUAGUUUGCCAUGAGUACUCGGGCAAAUGUCUCCAUUGAUAAUAACCACCUGUUAUUCCAGGUUUUGAUACAUAAUAUAAUGCAAAUAGGAGCAUCUACAGACCCAGAAUACAAACAGGCUCAUGCAUUUUCGAUUUAUCUUGUCCUGCCUCUACUGGCUACUUCCUUAGCUUUACUUUCAUAUAACUGGUAAUAUUUCCACAAAAUAAAUUUUUUUUUCUACCAAGUAUGCAGUUUAGUAUAUUGAAGUUUAUGAUAACAAACCUUAAUAUUCCUGUUUUGUUUCAAAUAUUAGGUAUCCUUCUUCAGUUUUUGUUGGUGAUACCUAUACCUAUUUUGCUGGGAUGGCUCUAGCUGUUGUUGGAAUUUUGGGUCAUUUCAGGUAAAUUUAUUUCCAUUGCAAGCUUCUAUGUUGUCCUUCUCUAUUAUUAAAAUUUUUCUGCAGUGACUAGGAGCCUUUGUUGCCAUACUGAGUUGCAGUACUGUAUGUUUACUUAUUAGAUAUUUUGAUGCCUUCUCACGUAGCUUGCUGUAGAAUUUUGACUUAAGCCUUCCUGUGCCAUUAUAGCUUUUUUAUAACACACACACACACACACACACACACACACACACACACACAUAUAUAUAUAUAUAUAUAUAUGUAGUAGGGCUGAUACUCUUAUGAGUAUAGAGGCCUUUAUAUUCAUAAGUCGUUUUCGAUGAUGGAGCUUGCGAAUCGACAAUCCAUAUCGUUAAACAUGAUCUAGAGCAUUGGAAGUAGCUAGAAAUCGAAAUUUGUAAUUUUUUAAAUUUAUAAUAAAGUUGAUAAAGUGGGUAUAAAGUGAACGGUCAAAAUCGAACGAUCUCCUAAAAAUAGGGGAAAGGGCUUUUAAAUUCAAGAUCGGAGUUAUUAAUCUUUAUCUAGAUAGUGAAUAGAAUUUUCUAUCAAAUUUUCAACCGAUUCCGAUUCUUUUACACCGUUAAAUUAGCAAGUAUCCUAUACUGACCAUUAAAAAUUGUCAAUUUUGAUAUCUUUUGAUCGUAAGGUAAUGAUGUUAAAAAUUUUGAAAUUUGGUUUUAGAAAUUUCAAAUGCUCUAAAUCGUAUUUAUCGGUAUAGAUCAUCGAUUCAGAGGCUCUAUCAUCGAAAACGAUCGUCCUCAUAAGAGUAUAGCCGCCGGACUAUAUAUAUAUAUAUAUAUAUAUAUAUAUAUAUAUAUAUUCGUAAAAGCAAAAGUGAACCCACAUUUUCAAUUGGUUAAGUCCUUCCCCAUUGUAAGAGUUGUGUCCCUAGUCUCCUAGUUAAUCACGUCAAACAGAAUGUAUGAUUACGAGGUUUUCAUGAGCAGAGCCCUAGGGCCUUAGGUUUCUGCGGUGAGCAACAGGUUCAUACUUUAUUCAUGUCGGCGGUAUUGUUUGUAAAUAUACUUGUCUUUUUAAGGUGCAAAAACGAUCACGUGUCUGGUGCUUGCUAGCUCUCUACACAUAGCACAGGACGAAGGUUUAUAGGCAUAUGCACCAAAAAUAGCACUCAUCAUGUUAGUGUGAACAUGUUGUUUCAUGCUUUCAUAAAAACUUACCAUGUGUCUCCUUGCAGCGAGACACUUCUGCUCUUCUUUUUGCCUCAGGUUCUGAAUUUCCUCUACUCGUGUCCACAGGUAUGUACAGGCCAUAUUCACUUUUCGCCUCUUAGAUUUUGUUCUCUCAACUGCUACAUCUUACGCUUUGUCUUUUUUAAUUUCCAAUUCUCGCAGCUCUUUAAGAUUAUCCCUUGUCCAAGGCAUCGUCUGCCAAAGUAGAGUCGCUUUUCCCUUCUAUUUAACUUAUCUCAAACUUGGAAGAUCAGAAAUUACUGCAACAUUUUCUUCGUUAACAUGUCGAAACCCCUUUCUCCUCUUAAAUUUUCGCAGGUUUGAUCCGCAAACAGGACUCUUGACGGGGACGAAGGAUGGGACCCUCGUUAACCUAUUCCUUAGACUGUUUGGUCGGUGCACAGAAAGGGCUCUUUGCAUCAAACUUCUAAUUUUUCAGGUAUGUUUUGCGUUCAUGUAAAAAAAUUGCGAUCGGUAGUUUAAGCUCCUCAAUGUAUCCGUUAAUGAAUAGGCAUUUUUGUGCAAAUGGUUUGUGAAAAACCUAAACAGUGAAUGCACUGCAUGUAGAGUCUUCGUCUGAUUCGAUUCUCAGAUCAAUACGACGGAAAAAAUUAUAAUUAUACCUUAUACGAGUUAUCAGCAUUUUGUUACUCUCUCCCCCUUUUGCUUCAGCAUUCUUACGAUGCUGCGUGUUUGCGUUUAUUCUUUGCAGGCCAUGGCAUGCCUUCUAUGCUUCUGGUUGAGGUACAUCCUCGCCGGAUGGUACAAAUGAAGCCGAAGGUACCGUAGAUCCUGCAGCUUACUGAUUUUAUCCAUGUAGGGGAACUGCUAGAAGAGAUUUCUCACAGAUUUUGCAUUUUUAGGUUUAUAUGUAUUGUUUACUUAUACCCAAUCUCACAAUUGUUGAAUUGGAUAACAUAACAUUAUUCCCCCCCCUCCCCCCCCCCUCCCCAUUUGCUAGCAUGAGUUUAUUUUUCACCUAAAAAGUGUUUACCACAGCUUUUGACUUUUUUUUUGGUGUACUUUUUGGGAGUAAAGUAACUAGCACCUCUUCUUUGACUUUUUGAAUGGUCAAUCCUUACCAUAUUAGGAAGUAGAGGAAAUUUAGAGCUCUAAAAGUGCGUUAUAUUAGGGCUUAAUUAUACUCUGUGCUUUAGUGCUAUGUUUAUUUGCCAUAUUGUACUAUUUUUUUUUUAAAGAUACCAUUAUGUUAUUAUAUUUAGAGGCAAUUUCAAACUUGGCCCUCAAAAUUUUAAAAAUAUCACAAAUGUUCAUUUAAGAUUAUCAAUAUCAAUAUUGUUCUUAAAAAUUCAUAAAUAGUAUUAUAAGCACCCUCUCCGCCAACCUUCGAUAUAAAACCUGAGUUAAAAUAUAAAAUGAUUAAUUUGUUUCUUUUUAAGCUAAUUAUGGUUAAUAUUUUGGCUAUGUAAAAUACUAAUAAAAUUAUUUUGCACGCGGUCGCUAAUUAGAUUUUCAUACCCACGGUGUUAAACCUUAAAAAAAACCCUAAAAUCCUAAGGGCCUAAUCUGAAAACAACAAAAACCCUAAAUCCUAAAACCCUGAACUUUGAAUGUAAUUAAAAAUAUAGUAUAGUUUGAGAUACAUGCAGGUUGAAAAUACAGCAGUCACAACUAUACAUGAAUCUUAUUUGGUUCGAUGUAAUAGAAAGCACUGCAACUAUAAAUAAUUGGCUUGAUUGCAUGCAGUUGAAAAGUGUAUGUUUUUAAAUUUUAGUAUUAUAUAUAUAUGGUAGUGAGAUUACCUCCAAUGCAGAAAAAAUAAUUAUUUUCUAUUUAAAAAGUUAUUAGAUAACCUCGACAAAAUAUGUAUAUCGAAGGGCAUAUCAUCUACACUAAGAGACUGUUUGGUUGGAUGUAAUUAAAAAUACAGUGUAGUUUGAUAUACAUGCAAUUGAAAAUACAACAAUCACAACCAUAUAUGAAUCUUAUUUGGUUCGAUGUAAUAGAAAGCAUUGCAAUUAUAAAUAAUUGGCUUGAUUGCAUGCAGUUGAAAAGUGUAAUUUUUAAAUUUUUAAAUUUUAUAUAUAUGGUAGUGAGAUUACCUCCAAUGUAGAAAAGAUAAUUAUUUUCUAUUUAAAAAGUUAUUAGAUAACCUCGACAAAAUAUGUAUAUCAAAAGGGCAUAUUAUCUAUACUAAGAGACUGUUUGGUUGGAUGUAAUUAAAAAUACAAUGUAAUUUGAUAUACAUGCAAUUGAAAAUACAACAAUCACAACCAUAUAUGAAUCUUAUUUGGUUCGAUGUAAUAGAAAGUGUUGCAAUUAUAAAUAAUUGGCUUGAUUGCACGCAAUUGAAAAGUGUAGUUUUUAAAUUUUAGUAUUUUAUAUAUAUGGUAGUGAGAUUACCUCUCCAAUGUAGAAAAGAUAAUUAUUUUCUAUUUAAAAAGUUAUUAGAUAACCUCGACAAAAUAUGUGUAUCAAAAGGGCAUAUCAUCUACACUAAGGGCUUGUUUGGUUCAAGGGUGGAAUUGGAAUGGAUAAUGGAAUGAGAAUGAAUUGGAAUGGUAAUUGAAAUGACCCACUCCUCCAAGACGUUUGGUUUAUUUGUGGAUUGGGAAUUGGAAUGGGUUAUUUAAAUUUCAUUGUUUGAUUCAUAUAAACUAAAAAAAUUAUAGGAUACUAUAAUACUAAUUUUACUCUCAAAUAUAAAUUUAUAUUAUUUAAAAUUUAUAAAAGAUAUAAUACUAUUCUCUAAUAAAUUUUCCAAAAAAAAAUAUCAAAUUUAUUUUUAAAAACUUUUAUUGAUGUGGGUUAGGGAUAGGGUUUUGAGAGAGGAUAGAUUUUUUUUUUUUUUUGAUGAGAAAGGGGUGAAGAGAAGGAGGGUGAGAUGGUCACAUGGGCUUUGGGCUUGCGGAAUGAAAUCUCAAUCCGGGCUAGAAGACCGGAAUCAAGUUGAAGGCUAAUGGGCCAUUCCCAUUCCAGUCCGGAAUAGGAAUCCCAAACCGAUUCAUGCAAACCAAACAAAAUUAACUGGAUUUAAUCAAACCGAUUCCCAUUCCAUAUCCAAAAUAGAUGAACCAAACAAGCCUUAAGAGACUGUUUGGUUGGAUGUAAUUAAAAAUACAGUGUAAUUUAAUAUACAUGCAAUUGAAAAUACAGCAGUUACAACCAAUACGUGAAUCUUAUUUGGUUCGAUAUAAUAAAAAGUGUUGCAACUAUAAAUAUUUGACUUAAUUGCAUGCAGUUGAAAAGUGUAUUUUUUAAAGUUAUAGUAUUUUAUAUAUAUAGUAGUGAGAUUACCUCUGGUGUAGAAAAACAAAUUAUUUUCUAUUUAAAAAGUUAUUAGGAAGGUAAGUUUAUUUUUUGUUUAACGUUAUUCUCCCCAACUACCGUAAUUGAAACUGUGGCCAAUUUAAGCGUAGUUCUAUUGCAGUUGGGCCUCCUUAUGCAGUUCCAACCGCAACAAUUGGAUUCGAAUACAUCAAACCAAAUACUGAAUUUGAACUGCAGCUAAUUUAGACGUAAUUCUGUUAUGGUUUGAUGUAUAACACAUAGUUGCUUAGAAUCCAUGAACUUUUAUCUGCAAGUCUAUUACAUGUCAUAGAACAUAUUCCAAGAACUUAUUUGGCAUCAUGCUCAUUUUUAUUUUUAUUUAAAUAAUUUCUUUUUCAGAAUUAGUACAGGAGGGGAUGAUGGAUUGUUUGCAUUUUGUACAUCCGAAGAGUUUGAUUGGACAAAAACCGAAAACUUGGAAGCUUUUUUUUUUUUUUUUUUUUUUUUUUUUUUUUUUUUUUUUUUUUUUUUUUUUUUAUUUUUAGAAGCUAAUAUGCAAUAUGACAACAAAAAGAAAAUUCUUCAUGUUAAAAGUUUAGAACUAAAUUAAAAUUUUACUGAUGAUUCAAAAUCUCAGAAUAUUGAAAUCCCAGAGACCAAAAUGAAACUAGUCUUAAAAGUUCAGGAAUUAGCAGUGCAAUUUACCCUAUUCUAGAAUUUGUAGUCUUGCUCCUUUUUACAAAAAAAAAAUAAAUUAAUAAAAAAAUUCCUGUUGCCCUAUUUAGUAAAAUUAAGAAUUUUGUUAAAUUUGCUGAUAAUUACUUCCAACUUUAUCUAUUAAAAGAUUAGUUAAAAAUUUUGAUUGAAUUUGACAAUUUGUCCCUGUAUGUUUGAAUAGCAGUACAAAACUGAGAUACUAGUUAAAAGAGAUAUCUAACAAAUUAAAAAAUAGCAUAUAUAAAGCUCAUGAAUGUUAGAUGUAAUUAUACUUUANUUCCCCCUCCUUUUUGGUGCUCCAAGUUAGUGAUCUUAGCAAACAGCUAAAGUAUAAUUACAUCUAACAUUCAUGAGCUUUAUAUAUGCUAUUUUGUUAAAUUUGCUGAUAAUUACUUCCAACUUUAUCUAUUAAAAGAUUAGUUAAAAAUUUUGAUUGAAUUUGACAAUUUGUCCCUGUAUGUUUGAAUAGCAGUACAAAACUGAGAUACUAGUUAAAAGAGAUAUCUAACAAAUUAAAAAAUAGCAUAUAUAAAGCUCAUGAAUGUUAGAUGUAAUUAUACUUUAGCUGUUUGCUAAGAUCACUAACUUGGAGCACCAAAAAGGAGGGGGAAAAAAAAAGUGUCUAAAAGGGACUAUCAGAUCUUCUAAGUGAACUGUAAUGUAAUUAUUAACUCCAUAAAUUUUGCACCAAAUAAUAAAGACAAAAGUAAUCAGAUCAUUCUAAUUUCUGCGUUCAAAUAUAUCCAUUCAGAAAGACAGUUUUUUUUUUUUUUUUUUCGAAUGCAAAAUUAAAACUAUAGUAAUUUGCUAACCAAAUCGUAAAGAGAAAAAAAAAAAAAAAAUUUAUUACUUUGUUUCGGAGAGUAUCCAAACAUGUUCGAAGUAAGUAAAGCUCAGCCCAAAGCCCAUGAAAUCUCCCUGAGCAGUUCUGCUUCUUCCUCCGGCGUGUAGUCGUUCUCGACGUCGAAAGUCUGCCGGAUCUCCUCUAUGGUUUUGCCGGAAAUCAUGUCGGCCAAGGCCUGGCACGUCAGGUCGAACAAUCCCUCGAUGGUCAUGUAGUCGGCAGCCUGUUUUUUUCGCCAUAACAAAAAAAAAUAUUUACUCGUAUAUGCUGAAAUAUAACCGUAAUUUAUAAAUUUCCUGUUUUUUUAAAUAUAUAUAGGUCCCGACAAAUAUAGUGAAUUAUAAAUAUAUUCCUAUAAAGUUUAAUUUUUAUAUGUUAUUUCUACAAAAGUUCUAAAACUUUCAAAUAUGUUUUUCUUUAAUUUGUUACCGUUAGAGAAAUAAGUGAAAUGUUAGUUUUGCCAUCGUAAAUAUAACACUCUAAAAAUCACAACAAUAUAAUAUAAGAGGGACCGACUGUCUCUAGCGCAAGUGGUAAAACCACAACAGUGUAGUAUAAGAGGGACCGACCGUCUCUAGUGCAAGUGGCAAAAGGGUUGAUUGUUGGUACCCGCGGUCCCAAGUUUGAAUCUUAGUUGAUUCACAUUUCUAGCUAAGUUUAUUUCUAAAUAAAAUAAACGAAGCGAAUAGCAUGCUACUUAUCUCUAAAAAAAAGAGUAUAAUAUAAGAGGGAGGGUUAAAUAUUUAAUCUACAGUUACCAUCUAAAAUGUCCAUUUCUCAUAAACAAACCAGGGUUAAAGAGGGUUCUUUCUAAUAUAUCUCUUAUUUGUUCCUCUAUUAUUCUAAAAUGCCCCUACAGUUAUCAUCCGUUAAAUUAACUUGGGUUAAACGUAAGUUAAAUAUUCACCAUAUGUUCCUUUAUUAUUCUAAAAUGUCCUUAUAUUUACCAUCCGUUAAGUUAACUUAGAUUAAACGUAAGUUAAAUAUUCACGUAGUUAAAAAAAAUUAAAAUACUUUUCUUGCCCAUAAUAUAAGAGCAUUUGAUGGUAGAAGGGUAUAUUUGAAAAGCCCAAAAAUUAAAAUACUUUUUGUGAUCUAACUAAAAGGCGAAUAGGAAAAAGCUGAUAACACUAGAAGUGUAUAUUAAUUCGAAAGGACAAGAUAAUAAUUUUAUAGAAAUAAUAAUUAUUGAAUAGAUUGGAACGUAAAAUGGUAUUUUCAAUAUUAGCCUUCUAAGAGGAUAAAUCAAACAGUUUAAAUUUUUUGAGAUGUAUAUAAAUAUUGUUCAUAUUUGAAAAUAUUAAAAUUUUUACAGAAAUAAAAGCUAAAUUUUAUUGGAAUAUAUUAUUUAUAAUUAAUUGGACAUGCAAUUAUUAAAGGAGUGUGGCUCACGGAGAGGAGGUCGAUGAGCGUGGCUUGGUCGAGGCGGCCGACGAAUUUCUUGUCGAAGUCGUGGAGGGCCGCCCACAGGCUGAUGCCGCCGCCGCCGCCGCCUUCUUCGGGCUUGUCGCAGCUGUGGCGCCUGACGUACUCGACCACCAGCGCGAGGACGUGGCCGGGCACCACCGGCAGCGGGAUGCCGCCCGCGGCGACGCCGAGCUCCAUCAUGUGCCGCAGCAGCGCCGACUGCCGCGCCGCCGCCGCCUCCAACUCGAACACCUCCCCGUCGCUGCUCGUCAGCGUCACCGUCACCGUCGACGUCGUCUGCUGCUCCUCCUCCUCCGGCAACAGCCGCAACGACGACGCAGCGCCAUCAUCUUGCGACGCCAUUGUUGUUGUUAUUAUUAUUAUUAUUAUUAUUAUUAUUAUUAUUGGUACGUAGUAGUAGUAAAUAAUAAACAAAGAAAAAGAAGAACCCUGUAUAUAGCGAGUAUAUAGAUGUAGAGUACGUAUAUAUAAUAAAGACUAGGUUGUAUAUAUAUAUAUAUAUAUGGAUAUAUACAACGGGAGAGAGAUUUUUCCUUUUUUUUUUUUAUUUUUCUGUUCUAAAUGGAUUAGGAUUUUGGUAUAAGAGAUUCUGGUGGGCAAGAGAUUGAUUGGAACUAGGAUUUGGUUUAAAUUUUAAUUUAAAGGGUUAAUUUUAUACAGGUCCCCACAAAUAUAAUAAAUUGUAAAUAUAUUCUUACAAAUUUAAUUUUUAUAUAUUUUUUCUGCAAAAGUUCUAAUAUUUUCAAAUAUGUCUUUCUGAUUUAUUACCGUUAAAAUACUGUCUAUUUUAUAAGUGAAAUGACCAUCGAUCUUGUCAUCAUAAAUAUGUCCCUCAAAAAAUCUCAAUUGGUUAUUGAAGAGGGGUAAAACGGUCAAUUCACCACAUUAAUUAAACUAACCAGCAUAUGAAAGUAGAAUUUUGUAGGAAUAUGUUUGUAAUUUACUAUAUUUGCAGGGAUCUGUAUGCAAUUAAUCUAAUUUUAAAAGUUAAAAUGUGUAAACCCCCCCUAAAUUUUAUUCCGACUUGAAAUUGGUCCAUGAACUUUUUUUUCUAAUUUGAUUUACACCCCAAGAACUUUUGCUCUAUUUGAAAUUGGGUCCUAAACUUUCUUUUUUCUUGAUUUGCACCUCCUGAACAUUGAAGAGGAAGAGUUAAUGACACACAUGUAUCUACCCAAGAUCCUAAUGUGGAUAUAUAUCUUUUAUGGAACAGAGCAGCGGUUGGCCAAACACGUCGAGCAGUGGCACGUCGUGAAGAUCAAAGACUUAGAGAGAAUUCGAUUAAUGAAUAAUUCUAUUCAACCAUGUGUUCACUUGAAACUACAUUUAGGGCCAGUUGGAUCGACAUAAUUAUAAAUAUAGUAUAGUUGAAAAUAUAUGGAGUUAGAAAUUCAGUAAUUAUAAUUACACACACCUUAUUUUGAUUGGAUAUAGUAAAAAAUAUUAUAACUAUAAAUUUUUUACUUGGUUGUAUGCGAGUAAGAAGUCCAUCUAUAAGUCUCUAUCAUUUUAUAUAUGGGGGUGACGAGAUUACCCUCUGUAUGAUAAAGAAAAAAUAUAUAUAUGUUUUUUCAAAGAUCAGGGAGAUAAGUUUAUUUUUAUUUAAAAUCACUCUUUCCAAGGAACUAUGGCCAAUUUCUAACUGCUGCAGUUGAGCCUCUUUGUGCACUCACAAUUGUAGCAGUUGAAAUCAAAUUCAAUUGCAACUACAGUAGUUGCAAAACAACCCCUUAAUGAUACUAAUGGGCACUUAAGUUAGCUUACUAAUUGCUUUCAAUUUAUGGCAACCGAUGCAAACAAGACGUAAAAGUUGUUUGAAGAGACACUAAAACCUACCAUUUAGUUCGGGGUUAAGUAAAAACUAGUUAUUCGAGGGAUAGGGUUAAGUUCGGGGUUAAGGUGAGGUUAGAGUAAUUUUGUGUUUGGUUGAUAAUUGGAUUUAAUCCAGAUAUAGGUAAAAUAGUAUUUGGUUGGAGUAGGUGGAUAAGAAGGAUAGUGGGUAAAAUAGUGUCUUGUUUGGUUGGAGUAGUGGAGUGGGGUGAGGUUAGCUAACCUCACCCCAAAUAGGCUAUCCCGGAAUAGCUCAUUUGGGGUGGGAUUAGCGAACCCCACCCCCCUAAAAUCAUGUUUGGGAAUAAAACCGGGGUUAAGGGGUUAUCCCACCCCUUAACCCCGAACCAAACACAAAAGAUCAGGAACCUGAGGAUGGGCAAGUUAUGGAUGACACUGGGUGAUCCUACCAAACUAAACACAUUUUACUCAAUACUCAAUUGUUACAAAAAGGAAUAUAUUCUUUGUAUCUUAUGUGGUGCCUGAUUAAAGAAAUUGUGUUAUUUACCUAUAGAUUAGUUGGGUGUAAACAUUUUUGGCUUGCCUUUUUUCAGUGUGAGAAAUCUUAUACUUUUAUAAUAUUUAGUAAUGUAGGUGUUUAAGCUUCCUAUUUUUGGAUGGUAUUAUGAUGUGUGAAAGUUACUGUUGGGUUAGUGAUAUCAAAUUCACUUAUUAGCCUAAUUGGUUUUAUUUUGGGUUUGGUUCAACAACUCAUGUAAUGGACUAGUUAGUAUUUGGUUUGGGCUUUAGUUGACCCAUUUGGUAUGUUGGGCCAAGUGGAGUUAAGAGAGAACUCUUUGGGUUAGAGAGAGUGUGUUCUCAUUUUUGCUCUCUAGGUUUUUUCUUUUCUUGUAAUAGAGAAGAGAGGUGUAGAGAGGGUUGGAGAAGGAGCUCUCUUGUUCUUCUUGCUUGAUUCAAAGACUUCCAAGGUAGAUUGGAAGAAUUCUAAGAGGUAUUCCGAAGCGGAAUUCGCGGAAUCGGAAGGUGCUUCAAAGAAGGUGUAGCAAGAAGGGAUUUUCAUUGGAAGGUUGUAAGCCCAUUGUGAUAGAGUGGUAAUCUCUAACCAAAUCUUGUAAUCUCCUCAUUUGAUAGUGGAUUUGAUCUCUCCGUGCCCGUGGAUGUAGCCCGGUUUGGGUGAACCACGUAAAUCUUGUGUUGUUGUUGUGCUUGUGCUUGGAUUUUUCUCUUUCAAUUUCAUUUACUCCAAUCUUGCAUAUCUUGAUUGUGGAUAAUUUAGAUACAUCACAUUUGCUUACUAGUGUGAUUAGUAUCUUGAUAGUGAGAGUUCCGUCAUUAGCUCACUACAGUUACAAACUCUAUAUGAUAUGUUGAUUCUCUAUGAUGCUUUGGUAACUUGGUAAUGGUACUUAACAUGUUUUAUUAAUUAUGAAAUAUCGUAUUUUAGUAUUAAGCAAGUGAAACAUUUGUGGGAUCUUAUGCUGACAAUGUGGCUUUAUGUGAUGUUUGCUUAAUGAUAUUAUUUAUGAAUGAUUUUUUAGAUUAAAAUUUAAUUUUUUGGUAUGAUUGUGUGAUAACGUGAAAUGGCCUUUUUUUUAAUAUUUAUUCUUGUAUGGGUCGAAAGCAAUUGGGCUUUGUGAAUUUUCUUUCAUGUAUGUGCUUUUUAUUUGUCCCGUAUUGAUUAUUAAUAAUAGAAUUAAUUAAGUGCAAAUUAUAUUGGUUUACAAUUUAUUAAAAAUAAUAUUAAAUAUGACAAUAAGGACACUUUUGCCAUUAUUAAAUUUUAUAAAACAAACCAAACAUAAUAAUUAUAUACACUAAUUUCCAAUAUUCCAAAUCUUCUUUGAUUUUUUGUAACAGUUAUAACUUAUCACAUAUAAUUCCAAACCAAUCAUACCGUACCAAGUAAGACAGAUAAAAUAUCUAAUUAGAUUGAAAUGAUAUUUUAAUAUUUUGUUUCCGGCUAGGGCUGCUAUACUCUUAUGAAUGAGUAUAGAACCCUUUAUACUCAUAAGUUAUUUUUAAUGAUGGAGCUUCUAAAUCAACGAUCCAUUCUAUUAAAUAUGAUCUAAAGUAUUUAAAACUUUUAGAAAAUAAAUUUCGUAAUUUUUCAAAAUCAUAAUAAAGUUUGUCAAGCGGGUCUAAAAUGAACGGUCAAAAUUGAACGACAACUUAAAAAUGGAUGUUCGGAUCCAUCAAUUUAAGAUCAGAGUUAUUGAUCUUUAUCUAUGUAGUGAAUAGAAUUUUCUAUUAAAAAUUCAACCGAUUUCGAUUCUUUUACACCAUUAAACUAACAAAUAUUCUAUACCGCCCGUUAAAAAUUGUCAAUUUUGUAACAUUUUGAUCGUAAAGUAAAUAAUGUUGAAAAAUUAUAAAAUUUAAUUUCUAAACGUUUUAAAUGCUCUAGAUAACGUUUAACAGUGUGGAUCAUUGAUUUAGAAGCUCUAUCAUUCAAAACAAAUUAUGAGUACGAAAGUGAUCGUACUCAUAAGAAUAUAGUAGCCGGAUUCCUUUGUUUCCAUACUUUUUCUAAUACGAAUAAUUUUAAUCAAAUAUUAUUAUUCCUAU